CAAUUGUGACUCCCUUUUUCUUCAAGCAAUUAGCGCUAGGAAAGAAACUCUGCCUUGAACUGCGGGUUUCUUAAAUGCUUCAGUAGAGAGUUAAGUACAAUUGUUUGGUUUUUGCUCCUAGACUAUGAAAUGCAUAAAAAGUAAAACAAAGACAUAUUGAUAAAAAGAUAAAAUAUCAAAAAUAGUUUUGUAUUUAAUUGGAUUUUUUCACAAUGUAUAGAAUAGUUAUUUAUAAGCAAAUAUAUUGGUAUUGGACAAAAUAAAGUGGCCUACAACAACAAUGUCGUCUGACCCCACUCGAUUAAUUUUGCGGUAGUGAGUUAGUUUUUCUUAUCGAGGGUUAAGCUUGGUUGGCAGCUUCAUUCUUUACUAUAUUAUUCGUUGAUAAGGUCUUUAGUCCACAACCUUCCCAUGAACCCCAACCAUUUGUGACACUAAAACAUGGAGCAUGAGUUUUAAGCCUCAUUAUCCAUUCUUACCGAGCUUGGACUCUGCCUGCGGCGAUCCUCGUGACUCAUGUCCUCAUCAAUAGACUUGAGAAAGAACUACAUUUCCCCAACUUGGUUAUCUUAAUUCUUUAUUGUCUAUUAUAUGUCGAUAUCGGCUAACUAGUUAUUUUUAAAUGUAAACAUUAGCAUACUCAUAAAGUGUUGACACGCACACAAACGUGUGCCUUUGCAAAAACAUUAUUAUGUAAGCAUGAAAUGUUUUACUAAUCAUUUUAUGGCUCAAGUGAGACACGCGUAGAUAAAUUCCUUCACAAAAAGUUGCACAAAGAUAUAUAGUAGGCCAUGCAUGGAUUUUCACUGGUUUAAUGAGGUGAGUUUGUGAUGUCAUGGUUUGAAAUAUUUUCAAACCGAGGUUAGCCAGCUUACAUUUCUGUCUUAUGUACUUUUUUUGGGUUAGAAAUGCAUCUCUCGUGUCUGUUUAGUACUUUCAAAGUCAAUGUGAUGUUUAUCACAUAAGAAGGAGUAUUCUACUAGCAAAGUUAUCUACAUUAGAAACGGAAGCAUUGGAAAAAUGACUGCUACCUAACACCUCAGCUUCUUCUCCACUUAAUAGAGAAAAAUUAUUUAGAUGCUCGAAUUAAUUGAACAUAGAUUGAUAUUUGACAUUAACUUAAGUUUUUUCUUUUGAAAGAUUAGACAUUUGACAUUAACUUAAGUUAGAAUGUUUGUUUUAUAUUUUAGUGAUUUAAAAAAAAUUAUAUUUUUAUUUGAUAAUUUUAUAUUACGUUCUUAUAUAACGAGAAAGUAUACAUAUUAAAAAAGUAAAUAAUAAAUAUUUUUGAGUGUUUCUAUGUGAUGUAUGUAUUUUUCAAAAAGUUCUAUAGAAUUUGAGCUUACUAAAACGUAAAAAAUAUUUGAAAGAGAGGUUUUAAAAACCAAAACUUUAUGUUAUUUCAUACAUAAAGCCUCAACUAAGGAGCUUUUCAUUCUGCCUCAAGUCCAAGGUAAACCAUUUUCAAAGUAUUGUCUUCUUUGUUCUUGUAUGAUCCCCAUAAUAUGAUCCUUUAUAAAAAAACCGUUUAGAUGGAUAAAAAAGUAUGUGUUGUUUAUAAACUAUUUUAACUUCGUUUAUAAAAUAGGAGGUUCUAUCUAUAACUUCAAGUGCAACAACCGGUAACAUAAUAGGAGGUUCAAUCUUAGGUGGCAAUUCAUUGAAAGCAUCAACGAGAACAUCUAUUACUCAAACAAUGUGAAAGCAUGGUCAGAAAAUACAACCAGUUUAUGUACUGGUGGUUUUCGGAUUAUAGAAUCCGGAUCACCUUGUUGAUUUCGGGUUUAAAAAUCCGAAUAGUGCCAGCACAGAUUCAUUGACGUGAUCAAAAGGAAAACGCUUAGAAAUCAAAUGAGGGAGGUUUUAUAUAAACAUUACCUUUGCAUUCAGACAAAAAUGAUGUAGUAAACGCCCCUUGAUGACCAGAUUGCUACCCCAAAUCACUUUUUCGUCCAAAAUGGUGUGUUUUUGGAGGAUGUAGGGAAUGUUUAGUGAUAAAGGUGGUGAACUUUUGCUAGGUUUCGGAUGAACCUUAUAUAUUCAAACAUUUUGGAUUGUACAAUUCGAUAUUUUUCCCACUUUUUUAAAAGGGGAUAUUUCGGAUUAUAAAUUCCAAAAUAUAUAAAUAAAAUUCAGUUUGUAUAAUCCGAAAGUUGUUUCACCAUAUUUUUGUCAAGGAUGGCUUAGUCAUGUAGACCUUCAAUUUUUUUAACACAUUUAGAUUUUAGAAUCCAAACUUGGUUCAGAGUCUAAAAUCCAAACAAAGGGUAAUUUAGAAAUAAAAUAGGGUGCACGAGAAUGCUAUAGGAUGGAAAAAGUAAACGCCUAAUCUAAUCACAGUUAAAUUGUGACACAUGCGUGAGUUAACUCACACUGAGAAUACACCUGUGUGAGUUAACUCACGCUCGGCUAUUUUGACGGGGAUGAGCAAAAAUAGAUGGGAGAUGAGCGGUACUCCAAGCCAUGAGCCGACCCCGUUUGGGCUUUGCCCUCUUUUGUUAAAAAAACAUUAUUAACUUAUUGAUUUAAGACUGUUUACUGCAUAAAAUCUUACAAACACGUUGAAACAUUUCGAAUUUUAGAAUACGAAUAGCGUGCGCGAAAACCAUAUAGAGUGGAAAAAAUAAUGACCUUGAUCUAAUACCAAAAUCAUAAAUUUGUUAGCGUGCCCCGUAAUCUCACUUCUAAAAUAGUUUUUUCUUGAAAGUAAUAUAAAGUUUCAAUGAAUAGAAAGACUAUACUCCUAGAUCUUAAAUACAAUCCAUUUUGUUCAAUUUCAUUAAAUAAUCGAUGUAUUUAUCUAUAUUAUAAAUAAAUUAUUCAAUGAAUUUGUAAAAAGAAUCUUAUUUAUAGGGUUAAAUAUAUUUUUUGUCCCUAUAAAUAUGCCAACUUCUCAUAUUAGUACCGCUUAAAAAUUUCUUCAAUUUUUAGUCCAUAAAUUUUUUACUAUCAUCACUUUUAGGUCAUACUUUUAAGUCAGGUCAUGUGUAUUCUUCAUAUUUUUGAAUAAAAUUUUGCAGAAAUGUUUAAAAUAUUAUAAAAAUCUCUCUAGAAAAAAAUUUAUAAUUUAUUAAUAAAAUAUGAUUUUUUUUGUUGUUGAGAUUUUUAUAACAUUCUAUAUGGUCAUAAAAAAUUUCAUUUAAAAAUACGAGAGUUACACAUGAGUUGAUUUAAAAGUAGAACAAAAAAUGACGAUACAAUUUUUUAAUUAACUAAACGACAAUUUUUUUAGGGAAAUUAAUAUUUUUUUUAAUAUAUUUAUCAUCAGGAAAAACAUAUUUAAACCUUAUUUAUAUUUCAAAAUAGAGGGAUUAUAAAGAUUUGCUCAAAGUAGACAUUAGACAACCCUAUGUGCUUGAGUUGAGUGUGUGAUGGAUUAGAGGAGGGAAGUAACAUUGAAAAAAGAUUGAUGGUUAUUCCAUUCUUGCUCCCAUGAAACACACAAAGCAAAGAAUUGUAUGUCACUUUAAUUAUGAUCAUGCAAAGUUUACUACAAAUGUCCUGCCUAACAUGCUCAAUACACUACUCUUCCAAGAAACCACUAACCAUGUGGGGUGAAGAAUCAGCAGCUCAACAAAGUUCUGUCUCUUCUACAGUCACAAGUGUACGUACAUUAAAAGGUAAUAUAAAUAUAUAAGUUGACUAAAAUAAUUAGUAAUUUAGCAAAUAAACAUGUAUAAUAAAUUACAAAAUUAAUGAAAUAUAUUUUUUAAUUCUCUUAACAAAUCAAUGAUAUUAAAAAAGUCAAAUUCUGUCAAAUCAAAUUUCUUAAUUGAAAUGUUAAGUUAUAAUAUUUAUAUUUAUAUUCACACUCAAACAACUUUGGUCAACAAUGAAGAUUACUACUAGCUUGUAAAGUCAUACACGAAUACUAUUAUGGGAGAGUUAGUGACACAACCAUCCCAGUUACAAACAUAAUUUUAAUUAUUAAAUCACUCAAUUAAAAGGCCAUGAAAAAUUAAAAUUCAACUUAUAAAUAACCAAAGGACACGACACGGACACUGAUAUGUCGACACAUUUAAUAAUUUAAAAAUGUUACAUAAUUCAGUGUAAUUACAAGUGUCGGAUAAGACAUAUGUCUGACACUGAGACACACCUAAUCUGAAGAGUGUCUGUCCUUCCUCCAAUACAAAUUGAAGAAGAAUUAACCAUGGUAGAAUUUAGAUAGCAGGAACAAAAAUCUGCCAAACCUUAAUGUCACAGUCCAAACUACCACUAUAAACUAGAAAAGAUGGUUCUUCUGAUUCAGAGUUAUCAUCACAAUGUUCAACUACUGCAGUUAAACACUUAACUGAACCUUGAUGCCCUUCCAAAAUAGAUAAACAACAAUAAUCUCUACCAACACCUCUCCAAAUUCUUAUGGUUUUAUCAGCUGAACCACUACACACAAAAUCCCACACAACAGCUAAACACAAUAUUGAAUUUUUAUGUCCUCUUAAUGCACCAACCAGAACCAUUUUUCCAUUUUCGUCGUCGUUGUCGCCAUCUUCUUUCUCCCAUACCAAUAUUGAUCUAUCACAAGCACCAGAAUACAGAAUAGAUUCAUCACUGCUCAAAACCAAAGCAUUGAUUCCAGAAUUAUGUUUCUCCAAGGUAUCAACAAGAGAAUGUUUGUGUUUCUUUUUGUUAUGAUCAUCACCUUGAAGAUUUUUCCACACUUUGAUUCUUUUAUCAGCUGAUCCACUGUAGAAAGUUCCAUCAUAAGAAACAACAACCGCGUUUAUAGCAUCAUCGUGUGCGUUGGUUAUUGAUUCCAAACAAGUGAAAUCUUUAGUUCUCCAGAUUUUGAUUGUUCUGUCCCAUGAAACAGAGUACAAAAACUUUCCAUCUUUAGACAGAGCAAGUGAAGAAACAGUGUCCACAUGAUGAACCCACGUGCAUUUUUUGUGUCUACGAAUUUGGACAUGGUUUUUUGGGAUUAAGAUUUUGGAUGCACGGUCACCAAGUGUUGGAAGUGUUGCUACAUGAGUGUAUUUUGUUUGGUCGUUGGUUAGUUUCCAGACACGGAUUUUACGGUCUUGAUGAGCACUGAAAAGGGUGUUUUUGUUUGAUUGAAUUACUAAGGAUUUAACAGCACCUUUUCCUGCUAUUACUUUAUUGUUGGUUGUUGUGUCUUCUUCAUAGGUGGUUCUGUUCCAUGUUGUGAUUUCUCUGUCGGAUGAACCGGUGAGGAGGAAUUUGCCGAAGAGAGUGAGAGAGGAUGUGUAGGAAGAGUUGUUAUUGUGGGAUUUGAGGGUUGUGAUGAGGUGGGAAGUGUGGUUGAUGUGGGGAUUGUGACGAGGGUUGAGGGAAGGAACUGAGAGGAGGCUGCGUUGUGAAGUGAGGGAGGUUGAGCCUAAUUGUUGAGGUUGAAGGUAGUGGUUGGAGUGAGAUGAGGAAGAGCCACUGUCAUAGUGAUAUUCCAUGAUUCACAUUUGUAAGGUAAUGAAUUGAAAAUGGUGUGGAAGAAAGCGAAAUGGAUUAAUAUUAUAUAUAUCAAUGGAAGGUGGAUAUGUUAUUAUAUAGUGCAUUCAUAUUCAAACAUGAAAUUAUCCUAUUCAUUGAUAAUGAAAGACAAAUAGUUUGAAAAUACUCUUUUAUCCAUUAUGAAGCAUAGACACUUAUAAUUAUACACUCAAGUAAAUUUUUUAAAUUAUUACCAAUAUUAGUGUGUCUCUGUCAAUGUCGUGUUUGAUAUAUGUAUCCGUACUUUAUAGACUAUGAAUCAUCUUUCUUUACUUAUCUUUUAAUCGGAACUCUAAAUUAACUUGACCUCUUUUCAAUAAAAAUUAGAGUCCAUUUCUAAAAAGGAUCGUAGUAUUAAGACAUAAACUUUUUGACACUCUUUCUAAUAAGUUGAUAUUCAAAAUGUUCUAGAUCGGUUAGAAAGCCAAUCCAACACUGACACAUGGACAAAGAGUCCUUCGGAUUAAGACACGCCACCAUAGUUAGCAUAAUAACUUUGGUACACACCACCUCACUGAAGCAUGACCCCGUGCACCCUACAUCGUACACGUGGCCUCUAACGACCGCUGAUAAGGUGCCAUAUUUCACGGGAUCUGUUAGCGCCUCAUUCCUCUAUAUAAGGGAGACUUAGCGUCACCCUCAAGGUACGAUUCAUUUCCCACACAUUUUUGUACAUUCAAUCUCAUUUCCUACUGACUUGAGCGUUGGAGUGCUAACGUGUCUGCAAACACCCUCCGUUCCACCGCGAACACUUCAUCGCCACCGCAUCGUUACAGUUGCUUCCACCCGUCUCUACCAGACAUAUCACAAUCGGAUCUCACUAAAUCACAUAAGUCCACAUAAACUUAACGAGACUCAUUUAAAAUCCAAAACCAAUUAGAAGUACCGUGUUGAGAAGAAUGUAGUAGAACAUGUGAUGUUAGCAUAAUUAUAUCGGUAUGUUCUUUUGUAAAAAUCGCUCAAACAAGAUUAAAUUGUUGAUUGGUGUUCCAAUAUAGGACCAAAUUGAAUCCAACAGCAAUAUAAAUUGAACAAUGUUGAUUGCUACGAAGAAAAUGUAAAGCAAAGGUAAAAAAUGUGCUUCCUUAAGUUUUUUUUGAAGGAAAAUGUGCUGCCUUUAAGUUAAUAAUUAUCUUUUAGUAUUGUUAACGAAUGUUUCAUAAAAAAAUUAUCAUUUAAAAAUGUCUAACACUCGUUAACAUUUCUUUUAUCUUUUUAUCACCUAGUCAUUUACCACAACUUUAUAUACCUAUGCAUGGUCAGUUUUAAAAACAAUUUGGUCAAAUUUCGUGUUGAGUAUGUUGGUGACGUAUGGCAGAGCUCUUUUAAAUUUUAACUCUUAUUUUUUGGGUACAAAUUUUUAACUAUGAGAUAUUGUGUUAAUCUCGUAUUUGUUGAUUUUUAGUUUAUUUUAAUAACACUUACUUAUUAGGUUAGAGCAUUGGCAUUGCUAGUGAAUUUUUACGAAUGCCGACGUGUUUCUUUUCAAUGAAAUUAAGGGAAAGCUUAAACUUCCACUUUUCAUGGAAAACUUUUGAGGUUUGACCGACCAAUGAAAACCAUUCUCAAGAUAUUUGCUAUGCAUUUGCUCGGGACAUUAAAGAUUACUCAUUAGUUUAAUGAAUACUCACUCUCUUUCUUUUUAAGUGUCUUUUUUUAAGAAUUUUUUUUUUUCUAUUUAAUUGUCAUUUUCAAAGUUCAAUACAACCUUAAAUGUUGUUUUACCAAUAUUAUCUUUAGUUAUUUAUUGCGGAGAGAUAAAUAUAUGAAAUGAGAUGUUAAAUGAACAAGGUCAUUAUAAUAAAAGUAUAACUUAUUGCAUCAAAAGUAGUAACAAUUGUUGAUUGUCUUGAUUUGUGUAAAAUGUCAAAAAAUGACAAUUAAAAAGGAACGGAGUUAGUAUUAUUCUUUACUACAUUUCAUAUGUUCAAAUUAAUAUAAUUGAGGUUUGUUAUUCAUAACAUUAAUUUUUGGUACAUUGUACAUUGUAUAUAUUUGUGUUAUUUAACAUAAUAUAAUAUAUUCUUUUAAAAAUAUAAUAUAUAAUUAUAUGUUAAUAAAAGCUGAAUGAACCAAUUCAAACAAAAUCACAUUUUGUAACCAAAAAAUAAAUAAAUCAAAAUCACAUUUAAUCAUGUUAGAUUUUUUUUUGAGAAAACAAUGCAUAUGCAUUUUAGUUACUUUUUUUAAAGGUAUUAUAUAUAACUCCAUAGCAUAUGAAGGAAAAGAAAUUUAUUAUUCAGGCCAUGCAUAAAACCAACUCAUACUUUAGAAAUCAGGCUGACAUAAAAAAUCUUAUAAACAAGUGUAUAUAUUAAUACACAUUUAAUCUUGUUAAAAAAUGUAACCAAAAAUAAAAUCUUGUUAAAAAAAAGUGCGUAUAUAUUAAUACUUUAAAGUUUAAAACUGGUAACCAAGUUGUUUGGGCUCCAGUGGCAAAGAGCUCCUUCCAAGGACGUACCCGGAGAAUAUCGGGUUCGAUUCCCAGGGGGAACAACACUUGGCCAGUGCGCAUGCCUCUACGCAUGAGCUGGAUUAGUCGCCCACUUUUGGUGGGUCGGAAACCGAUGCGAAAGAAAAAAAAAGUUUAAAACUGGUGAGUUUUAUUUAAGCAAAGCCUUGCUAAAGACUAAAGUGCCUUAAUCCCAUUAUUGAUAGAAGUAACUGUGAUAUCCUAUCCUAUAGGAAAUAAUACAAGGUAAAGGCGAGCAAUUCUUAGGAUCAGGCGAAAGGAAGAAGUAUAAUCUCUAUGAGCUUAGCUCCCACUUGUUAGAGACAAUACAUAAUAUAUGUAGGGGGUUGGGUUCGAUAUCCGAACACCCCACUUAUUCUUUUUAAAAAGGUGAAUUUCUAACCAUCAAAUUAUUUAACAAAAACACGAAGAAAAAAAAGAAGAAGCAUAAAUUAGGGUCAUCCGUGCACCUAAAAGUCGAAAAGGAAAAAUAAUAAUUGUAUAGUUAGGCCAUGGAUAGGAACUUAUGGGUCUUUGUUGCCGGUAUUUAUCUGGACUGGCAUGUAAGUUGGCACAAACCCAUGAAAAUUUUGAUAAACUUUUGAGUCUUGUAAGGUUUCUGGGGUUCAUGUGUUCAAAAGGAGUGAGAAAUUAAUUUAUUAUACUAAGAAUUAAGAGAAAGUAAAACAUAUCAGCCUAAAAUUAGGUAUUUCUAAUCAAAUGCAAUUGUACUUUAAAAGCAUUAAACUAAAAGUUAAAAGGAAUAAUUUAAAUGGCCAUCUAGAUUUGGUGGAGGAUAUUUAUCUAAAAAGUUUUAACUUUCUUCUACCAAAAGAAAAAUGUCCUUAGCUUUCCUCAUAAAAUAUAAAAUUACAAGUCUUAGCUUAAUGGUGUAGAUUAUUAGGCAAUGUAUAUUAUUGGGUUGCAAAAAGAGUGGUAGCAACAUAAGGAUUAGGAUCUAGUAGCGGCACCACCAGUAACGGAUGACAAUUCGAGUCAUUUGUUUUCUUAUGUCUUCCAGUAUUGCAUUCCAUACUGUACUCUUGAUAAAGGGGGAGCACUAUUUUUGAACAAAAGGUAUAUACUGUUUUUGUCUAACAUAAACAUAAACAAAUAGAUUACUCUUGCAUCAUGCAUGAGCCUACUUUCUAUAAUUUGAUCAAUAAUCACAUACUAUUUAAUUUAAUUUAACGGGUUAAAUAUAUUUUCAAUCCUUAUAAAUAUACCAACUUUUCGUUUUAGUCUCUCCAAAAUUUUCCUUCAAGAGUACAGUAUGAAAUUUUCAAUAUAAAUUUUUUUUAGUCCAUAUAAAAUUUUCAAUCACUACUUUUGGUCCCUAUUUUUAAGUUAAUUUUUGUAUUUUUAAUGAAAUUGUGUAGAAAUGUGUAAAAUAUUGUAAAAAUCUUUCCCAAAAACAAAAUAGAUUUUUUUAACAAAACAUAAAUUAAAUAUGAAUUUUUAACCUCCAAAAAUAUAAAAAUUCAUAUUAAAUUCAUGUUUUGUUAUAAAAUUCUAUUUUUUUUUUUUGGGAGAGAUUCUUAUAAUAUUAUGAAUUUUUUUGCAAAAAUUUAUUAAAAAAUAUGAAUUUUAAAUAUGAGUUUACUUUAAAGGAGGGACUAAAAGUGAAGAUGGAGAAUUUUUGGGGACUAAAAGUUGAAGAAAGUUUUUAAAGGGACUAAAAUGAAAUGUUGACAUAUUUAUAGGGACCAAAAACAUAUUUAAUUGUGAGAAUUAUUGAUACAAUAGUUGCAUAAGCUUAGUUUCUAUAAUUUGAUCGAUAGUCACAUAAUAUUUUAUUUAAUUUAAUUGUAAGAAUUAUUGAUACAAUAAUGAAUGCAAUAUUAUGCAUGAUACAAAAUUUAUCUUUUUUUUUUUGAAAGACCAUAAUAAUAUUGCAUUUGUGUAUUUUAUUUUACCAUAUUCAUUUUGCUCUUCAAUUUUUUAUAUUUACCUUUUAUUCUUGUGUGUUUUCUCUUUCUUUUUCAGUCCACUAAUAAUCUCUCUCUCAUAUAUAUUUGGCUAAGACAACAUACAUACCGUAUAGUUUAACUAUAAUGCUUGUGCAACGUAGUAUGCCAAUAAAUUACGGUAUUUUUUUUAAAAAUUAUUUACUUGUAUUUAUUAUUUGAACUGCAAAAUGAUUUAUUAGAGAAAAAGUACGAUUGAUACAUGAUCCACCAAGCGAUGAGAAGCAUAAGAGUUACCUAACCUAACAAGUUACACACAUAAUUAUUUAAAAUAGAGAACCAAGAAGAGGAUUUGAAAAACAUUCAUAACAAAUGCACAUACCCUCCUUUUUUGAGGUAGAAGCCAUCUCCACGAGGUGACUUUAAUAUCAUCUAAUAUAUCUUCUACUAUUGGUUUCAAUUUUCAAAGAAAUAUUAUUGUUUCUUGCCUCCUGUAUCUUCCAAAUGGUUGUGUGCUAUAUUAGCAUUAAACCUUUCGGAUGCUUGUUACUUGACGAGGAGGAAGCAAAGGUGUCCAAAAGAGAGGUAAUAGUCCCGGGAAAAUCACACCCCUCCCAUCCAUUUGAAAAUAAGGUAUCACAUCAAGCCGGAAAAUUUAUAAAUACAAAACAAAUGGUCCUCCACCUCCAAAAUCUCUGGACACCACACACAAUCUACGACCCUACCAUCACAAAUACUCACCCUCUUUGCUAUAGAUUCCCUCGAGUUGGUAAGGGUUUGCACCUUAGAUGGUGCUAUACUUCUCCAAUUAGAUCUUUUUUUUUUUUUUUUUUAUGAAUUCUCCAAUUAGCUCUUAAUGCUCUUCAUGUUGCCGUAGACAAAUUCUUAUCCGGUAAGAAUUUCUUAUUAAGGACCACAAAGAUUGAAUCGAUAAAAUAUCGAAAUGAUCAAGAACUCAAAUUGCUAAUGAUAAUCGAGAACCCACAUAUAAAGAGUAUUUUUACUCUUGAUAAAGAUAUUUUUUUUUUUAUCAAGGACAAAAAAAUGUUUAUUCACAUAUAUUCAAUUAUAAUCUACCACGUAAAUAAUUGUGAAAAUAUGUUUUUUUUUUGAAGGAAUGAAAAUAUUUUUUUUGAAAGAUGAAGGAAUGAAAAUAUGUUAUCAAUUAAAUCGCUAAUGUGGUAUUUUUGUGAACCAUGGGGAAAAAAAUUUCAUCCCUGACGUUGACGGCACCUUGUCGUCAAGCUGAAUUGUUCAAAUGCACCGUCUAUCGUCUUCUUAGGAAAGGGAUACCCUAACGUACUAUCAUCAGGUGUCCUAAUAAUAGGGAGCUAUCACUAGUUUUCCCAGUUUUUGCAUAACAUUAAAAUGUCAUUUCUUUAGAUAUAUUCUCACAUGGAAGACCAGUUUAUUCAUAACUCACUCGAUACUCAACUCUACAAAGAGUCUACAUUUAAUCACCAUAUACGCCCUUUAAGUUAUGGUUGAAACUUGAAAAGACAAAAAAUGAAUAAAUUAAGCUUAUAUGAGUUACCUCGUUGCUUAUAAAUUAAUAUGACUAAAGUAGAAUUAUUUGAUAACAAUUUUUUUUUACGAGCUUAUAAUAAUUUUCACUAACUUUACUAAAAAAAAAAAUCACUAGCUUGUAGUAUUUUUUUUUAUAAGCUAUUUCAAAUAGUUAUAUAGUUUGACCAACUCCAUUGAUCAAGGUGAGACCUCAAUAUCCUCUUGAGUCUUGACAGAAGUACAGACCUUCAACUUAUCAUAAACCUUGUGUUUUUUUUUAAUGCCUUUGUAAUUUGUAUUUUAAGCCUUUAAAUAUGUUAGGCCAACCCGUUAAUUUAUCAUUGAUUAAUUUAUCCGCUAUAUAAUAACUAUAAGUUCUUCCUUCAAAAAAAAUAUCUAUAAGUUCUUGUCAAAAAAAAAAACUAUAAGUUCAUCUAUUUAUCAACUAGUUUGCCAACUAUCCACAUAUUUCUUAAGCAAACACAACCUCCUUGGUCUACAUUUUCUUCCAAGGUCGAUUUAUUGACAUGUCCCUUCAAACUAGUAAAUUUGUAACCUUUCUGAGAUCAGUAAUUUCCUUUCUUAAUUAUAUAGUGUAUAUUUAAAUAUAGUCAAUGUAGGAUCUACCAACAUGUAAGAGCCAACCAUCUAGCUUGAGACAAACGACAAUGGAUGGAAUACAUUGGACAAUAAAAUAAAUGAAAUUAUGCUUUAGUUGAACCUAAAUUAUUGAAAUCACAUUAUUGCAACCUAUGACACCAUCCACUAGAGAAUUGUAGCAAGAUGGGUUGGACAACUCAACUAGUUUGAGCUAGAGAUAAAGAGGUGAAGAUCUUGAAUUUAAACCUGAAUAAAGGAGAAAAAAUAAUUACUAACAUUUCUCAUUAAAACAAACAAGACCGGUCUAAUUAUUUGAUGCUUAAAGUGUUUUAAGAUGAAACUUUUUUUUAAAGGGAAUAACAAUAUUUAAUAAUCUGUUCAAAAAACUAGUUAGACUAUUAUUUUUUGGGAACUUCUAUGGUACACUCACAAUUUUGAGUGUACCGGUACUCUUGUUUUACAAAAUUUAUAAAUUAACAAUCACUUUAAUGAAAUAAAAAGGUAUUUGUCAAUAUUUAUAUUUUAGAAAACAUCAUUUCAUAAGAAAAACCAUUAUUUCAUUGUUUAUAAGGAUCAUAUUAAAAAAUUGACAUUUUGUCAUAAAAAAUAAUCAAUAUUCAUUGUUAUGAGUAAUAAAAAUUCUUAAAAAUUAAAUUUUAUUUUGUCGAAGCUUUUGGUAAAUAAAAUUUAAUUAUCGUAGUUGUCAAAUGAUAGAAAAUAAUUAUUUUUUUUUCAAAAAAACAAUUCAUUUAUUACUAAUAUUACGACUUGGUGUACCGAUACACCCAAAUUUAGUGGGUGUACCAUAGAAUUUGCCUAUUUUUUGUUUUAACUUCAUGUAUUUCAGACUUUUUAUGAUGUAGAAUAUCAUUUAUUUCCUUUUUUUUGGUACAAAAGAGGGCUAAAGGCCCAAAAAAAAACUAAGAAGUUAGCCGAACAUUCUUAGGCAUAGAAGCGUCAGAGAUGUCAUAAAAAAGAAGUCUACGGAGUUCACUGGACGGAUUCUCCGUUAUGAUACAAUUAAAAGAGUCUAGAGAAAGGUUAAAGUUAGCCAACCAAUCAGCACAUCGAUUACCCUCCCUCCAAGUAUGGCGAAAUUGGACUCGCCAAUCCAAAGCCAAGAGUUUUCGAUUGCGUUGCACCAAUAUGGAACCUGAGCCACUAAACUUGCAGUUUUCCGUAACCAUGUCAUUCAAGAUUUUAGAAUCACUUUCAACAAUGAGUUGCGGAAUGUGCUUUCGUCAAGCCAUCUCCAAACCAAGAUACAUGCCCCCACAUUAUCACAAACUCCAAUCUUUUAAAUGUAGCCUUUUAGCCAUCUCCCUUCAGAGUCGCGAAAGAGGUCACCACAACUUGAAUAUUCUCCAUUUCCUUUGCAAGCACCGUCACUAUUGAGUUUAAUCCAACCUUCACGGAGUUUCUUCCAACCUAUGUAGAUUGUCUCUUUCAUUUAAAAAUUGUGAUGAAUCCGAUGAUUUGAAAACAAGUCUAUCCAAAACAUUUAUUACUUUAUUGUGAUCAAUAUUGUCUAACAUUUAUUUCAAUUUCAAACAAUAAUAAAUCAAUUCAUUUAGUUUUUUUGGGACAAUGUUUAUCUUAAAUAAAAUUUAUAAUGUAGUUUUUUUUCUUGGGUUGGUUUUUUUUUUGUUCCCAGGGAUUUUUGUUAUUAUUCUUUUAUUUUAUCAGAUUUUAGCUUUUAGGAAAAAUGUUGUGACAAUAGAAUAGAGAAAAUCAUGGACUCAUGACCUCACCACAUGAUACUUUUCCAUCAAAUAGUUUUUUAGUUUACUUUUUUUAAGGCUUUACUUUUGGGUCGUCCCUAAAUGCUAGUCACACCUAUAGAUUCAAAAAUUAAUUCCGAAUGGUUUUUCACCAAUAGAAAUUUAAUUGAUAGAGUCACAUUUUGCUAGAUCCUAUCCUAUCCUAUCCUAUGGUAAUUAAUUUUGAAUGUGAUGAUUGCUGCCGCUAAUUUUUCUCCCUAACCAUGUUUCGGAGAAAACCAAUUUUAGCCCUUGCGUUUGAGAAUAGAAAACCUUACUUUUUCUGUAAGGAGAAUAUUAACCAGCACCAAAAGAAGUAAGUUUUUAUUAAAAAGUAAUGUAAUUAUUACUUAAUAAAAAGUGAAGUUUAUAUUUCUAAGACAAAAUUCUAUUUAUAGAUUUUUUAACCAAUGCCCCCAGGGCAUUGGUUAACAAGACCCUUUUUAUAAUAAGAGUCUAGACCAGAGGGGUACAAGGAGACCCAAACAAAAGUAAUCCCUCCGUUCCAUAUUAAGUAUGACACAGUUGACUCUGUCGCACAUACCAAUAUAUAUUUUUUAUCUUUAAUAUAUUUUAUUAGAAAAAAUUAUAAAAAUUUAAUAUUUUAAAAUACUCAUCAAAAUAAAUCCAACAACAUCUUAUAUGAUAUUAUUUAUCUUUGUAUAUUAGUUAAAAAAAUAUGGUCAAAAUUUAUUAGGUCAAUAAUGCACGAACCGAAGGAGUAUUGUCUAUGCAUGAUAGAGAUUCUAAGUAUCUUUUAGUGGUACUCUUUGGGGACCGCGGGUUUCCAUUAAAGGAAUGAAAAAUACUAUUAGUGAAGUUGUCCAUAUAAUCAAAUGUGGAUGGUAGAUUUUCACAUCUAAUAAAGUUAUUUUGCUACUUUUUUCAUACCAAUCAAACACAUUAUACAACAGUAGGGUAUUGCUGUUCGAUUAAAAACACACCUAGAAAAGUAGGUUGCAUUUUAUUCCACUUGCAUGAACCCAUAUUUCCAUUGUCUGUUGGUCCCGUAAUGAAAAAGAUGGAUAGAUAGAUCAUAGAGUCAGCACAAACCUGUAAUAAUUUUGAGAAUGUAAUUUAUGUGACUUAUGGAAUUUAUAACUAUAUGAACGUUUAUUGAAAGAAAUUCUAUAAUUUACCAAGUUCUCUUUAUUUGUGGAUUGGUCUUGAUGGACAAAUAUAGAAACCCUCAGUCUUUUCACCAUGUGCUCUUGUGAAUGAUACCUCAUGACCAUUUUCUUCCUUUAGGAAAUAUUUUUGUCACGAGAAUAGAUUUAGCAUGUGUAGUGAUUGAUAACUAGCGGUUGAGAUUCCACAUUGCAGUUUUUUCACCAUGAUUGAAUUCACAUGGUACAUACGUGUAAACUUGUGAGUGAGUAAACCCAUAUAGGACAUAUGCGACUACUAUUUUUUCUUGUAUGGCAUGAAAAGUGUGUAUGGUACAUGUACAUGUGUUAAUUUCUGAGUGAGUAUAAGCUCAUAGAGGACAUAUGCUACUUCUGUUUUUUUGUGUAUGACAUGAAAAGAGAGCAAGAAUGACAAGUGAUUCGCCUACUGGCCACUUAAAACUCUUGCACAGUGAAUGCUGUUUUUUUUUGUGUUGGAUCAGUGAGUGAUUGAGAAAUGGUUUGCUUUGCUAGGUUAGUAAGAGAACGAGUUGAGAUAUAUUGGCAUGCAAAUGCGAAAAUUGUUAACUAAAAGCUAGGCUUAAUCAUUAUCAUCAGUAAGAGGAAUGACUAACUUUGGACAGGAUAUAAAGGCAACGAUAGAUUAAGCAUUAUCCUCAACAUAACGAAUAUAUCCCACAACCCGACCACUGACGAACCAAAGUUUGAAUCCGACUCGAUAAAAGUGUUCAGAUUUAUUUUUCGAUUGUCAUAUGGUCAAUGUAUUGUGGUCUGAUGUUCUAUCUUAGUUAGGAAUCAGUUGUAGGAUGAUGAAUUAUACAUAGUUAUUGUCAUGAUGAACAAUUUACAAGUUUUGUUUAUCAUGGAAAGAAAAUAAAGGAACGACUUCGUUUGAAUUGGUUGGUAUGCAUCUGGUCAAUUUAAAAGCAUUGUAACCAUGUGAUUUUUGGUAAUAAAGUUUGGUUAUUGGGUUCACCUUUUGAUAUGGUUAAACUUUUGUUGUUGUCUUGGAUCAAAUUUAAAGAUAAGGGGUUUUCUUAUGAUUAUUAUAUAUCAAUGAAGCACUCAACAACAGAAAUGUUAGGGGUGACUUUUUUUUUCAAUUAAUUUCAUUUUAUUUUUGGUAUGCUCGCACCAUUCUUUUGGUGUAUUUUAGUAAUUGUUGACUGCUGCUAUUUUAUUUAUUUAUUUUAGCACUCCUUGUGCUUUGAUUAAGUUGUGUUAAUAAAUCAAUUUUUUUGGCCUUAAAAAAAAGUGUUCACAUUUAAUGCUGGUAUCUCAAACAAGACUGCAUUUGAUAAAAACUUAGGUUAAAAAGUACUGUUUUCUUGUUGUCAAAGGGUGUGUUUGGUAAAAAAAAAGCUAUAAGCUAGCUGAUAGCUGAAAAGUUAGCUUAUAGCUGAUGGCUGAUGGCUGAUAGCUGAUAGCUGAAAAGUUAGCUGAUUAAAAUUAAAAGUGUUUGGUAAAAUUAGUUGUUGAAGUGACUAUAAAUAUAAAAUGACAUAAAAGGACAUGCUUGUUUAAUUUUUUUUUUUUUUAAUAUCAUAUAUAUAAUUUUUAUUACUUAACGCAUUUAUUUUUAAAUAUUUAAAUAUAUUUCAAAUUAUUUUCAUCUCCAAAAUAAUAAAUGUAUUUAUGAAUUCAAUCGAAUUUUUUUAUUUAACAAUUUUUAUUUUAUUUUUAUGAUUUUUAUUUAAUUGCUUCACUAUUUAUUAUAAAUUUUAUAUAAAAUUAUAUAUUAUAUGAAUUAUGAGCAAAGUAAAAAAAAAACAAAAAAGUGGACAAGAAAAUUUAAAAAGCCAUACAUGGUAAACGUGGUUAGUUUAAGAAGAUAGUGGGUAGUUUUUUUUUAUUAUAAUAAAAUAAAAUAUAAUUAAGAAAAGGUUAAAAUGAGAAGAAAGUAUAAAAAGCUACAAGCUAUAAGCUAAAAAGCUAUGUGGAUUAGCUUCUUAAAAACGCUAUAAAAGGGUAAAAAGUACUGUUUAGUUGAUUCUCGUCUAAGAAUGUCAAUUUAUACUCGUAAGUAGUGCAUGUUUGGGGCUCCAAAGGUUAGGAAUUUUCUUUGGGAUCGGAACGGAAGUUUCAGGACGAGGAUGAGAUCUUACCCUCCGCCGCGCAGGGAUCUCGUGUCCCCAAACAUUUUAUUAAAAUAUCUUGGCUUAAAUAUGCAAACCAUCCCUGUAAUUUGGGCACAUUUUGAUUUUCGUCCCUGUGAAAAAAAAAAUUUAAAAACAUCCCUGUAAAAAAAAUUUAUUUUAAAAAGGUCCCUGGCCCCACUUUUUUGCUGACAUGGGAUGGCUUUGGCCACGUGGCAGUUGCUGACUGUGCAACUUUUGCCACGUGGUAGUCCACGUCAUUAUUUUUUAUAGAAAAAAUCUGAAAAUAUUUUUUUAAAAUUAAAAAAAUUCCAAUUUUUUUUUUUUGAAAUAUGAAGAAUUUUUUUUGGAAAUUAGUGUUUUUAAAAUCUAGAAAUAAAUUUUUGAAACUUAUAUAAUCUCAAAAUUUAUAACUUUUGAAAAUAUAAUUUUCAGUUUUUUUUUAUUUUUAAACUUAAAAAAAUUCAGAAUUUUUAAUUUUUUUUAAUUAAAUAUCGAAAAAUUUAAUUUUCAGAUUUUUUUUAUGAUUUUUGAAAGAAAAAAAUUAAUUAAAAAUCGAAAAAUUUAAUUUUCAGUUUUUUAAUUUUUUUUUUUAUGAUUUUUAUAUUUAUUUUUGGAUUUUUUAUUUUAAAAAAUGAAUUUUUAGAAUUUUGAAAAAAAAUAAAAAAAAAAUUAAUUAUGUGCCAUGCCACGUCAGCGCCACGUGGCAAAAGUUGCACAGUCAGCAACUGCCACGUGGCCAAAACCAUGCCACUUCACCUGAAUAGUGGGACCAGGGACCUUUUUAAAACAAAAUUUUUUUUACAGGGAUGUUUCUAAAUUUUUUUUUUUUACAGGGACGAAAAUCAAAAUGCGCCCAAAUUACAGGGACAGUUUGCAUAUUUAAGCCAAAUAUCUUCUGUUUUGUACUUUCACACAUAUGUUUAUUAAAUUUUGUUGAUAUGUGAAGUUUAUUGUUGUCACAAGAUUCCCAAUAAUAUCUUAUUUUUUAUUUGUUUUAUAAUUAUACUUUAAUUUUCUUUUGUCAAUUUUUGCUAGAAAAUAAUAAAAACUUGAUACUUCUUUAAUGUUGAUGUGAUCCUCUCGGAGACUAGGGAUCCAUGGUGACGGGGAUGAGGAGUGAAUACUCUAAGACAGAGAAUGAGAGUAAUUUUUUAUCUGAUUAUGAUGUGUCCUAUUGACAUCUCUAUUCUCGCAUACUAGACCAUUUGAUAAAAAAAAAUAUAUAACCUAAGAGUAAAAAACAAGUACCGAACGUAUAGCAUAAAAGACAGUUAUUUAAAUAAUUAAUUUAUUGAAUUUGUUUUAGAAAGAAAAGAAAAAAAAAGAGAGCAUGGAGUUGGUCUAUGAGAAUAACAGGGGUGGUAAUAGAAACUUCUCCAUGUAAACUUUAUUCAUAUCUAGUCGGAUUUUGAAGGGACCAGAUAUCCAUCAUUGUAAGUUUACGCAUGCGAGUUGCUCUUUAGCAUCCUCUAAAUGCUAAAAAGUACAACUACUAUCAUUGACGUAUUGCAGUUAAGUGUUGUUCGUCGUUUGAUUACAAAAAAGUAUUAUUCGUCAUAAAAUGGUAGUUAAGUGUCGUUUGUCACUUUUUCAAUCGAUCAAUCAAAUCACUUUUUAAAUCGACUUAAUCAAUUUAAAAAGUCAUUAGAACGGUAAUUAACUGCUUUGAUUAAAAAAAGUAUUAUUCGUCACAAAAUGGUAGUUAAAUGUUGUUUGUCAUUUUUAGAUCGAUCAAUCAAAUCACUUUUUAAAUCAACUUAAUCCAUUUAAAAAGUCAUAAGAACAGUAAUUAAUUGCUAUUAGUCGAAUGCUGCGUUCUUUAAAGAAAGUAACCGGGUUGGUAUAAUGAUAUGCAUAAGAAAUGAUUACGGAAGGUUAGUGAAAGCCAUAACUAGUUGGUCAAUGCCGCUCUUAGAUUUUUCCGAGGGAGAGGCUCUUGGUCUUUUAUAUGCUAUCAGAUGGGUAAAGGAGCAGACUUUUAAUAAUGUCAUUUUCGAGCUCGAUUCCAAGAGGAUAGUAGAUAGUUUCCAUAGCACUAGAAAUGAUGUAUCUGAUUUAGGAGCUAUUAUCAGAGAAUGUAGGAAUACUUUCUCAUCAUUUUUCACAAACUCAAGGUAGAGUUUAUUAGGAAACAAGCUAACGAGGUUGCUCAUAGACUUGCUAGGGCGGCCGGAUUUUAUGCUAGUAUUCACCGGUUCAUUGUAUUACCUGAUUAUAUUUAAGAUGUUUUUAUUAAUUAAAUGGGAUAGUUAUUUUCUGUAAAAAAAAAAAAAAUUACUAUUAGGAUAAUUCUGUCAGUUCAAGAUACCUGAGUACAAGUCAUGGAUGUCUAAAGAGCAAUUUUUUUCAUUAAUUGGUCCAAGAAAAAUGAGCCAAAGUACACAAAAUAUAGAAAUUGCUCUACAACUCUCCCAAGUUGCUCAACCAAUACAAAAAUAUUUUUCCAAUAUUUUUUUUGCCUAUAAUUAUUAUUUUUUUGAAUAAUUUGCCUAUAAAAUUAUAUAGUAUAAAUUAUUAAUAUUAUUGAUAAAGUAAUAUAAUAUUAAAAAAAUAUACUAAAAUUUAAAAAUAAAAAAAAAACGAACAACGCAAGAGACAAACGAACUCUGGCGGCAAAAGGUAAGCUUCCACUAUCAAGCUUCAACCGAAUCAGCCGGCCUCACCUUAAAAAUUAGAAAAUUUCGUCUUCUUCUGAUGAAAGCGAAAUGAAUCCCUUCCACUUCUUCUUCAAUGGCAUUAUUCCCAAUUUCAUAUUCCAUAAUCUACCAUGGCGCCACCAUCUCUCGCCAUUUCUCUCAUCUUCUCACUCCUCAUCACUUCCUUCUUCAAACCAUCACUCUCUUCCACUCUCGGCGUCGACGCCAUCUCCCGCACUCUUCAAAUCCAGCACCGAGAACGAUCACCGCCGUCCGUUCAAGAAGCCGCCGCUCGCUCUGUCCUCCUCCGCUUGCUCCCUUCCCAUUCCGAUUCUUUCCACUUCCGCAUCAUCUCCAAGGCAUUUCAAUUUUCUCUUUCUAUUUCUCUGACCUACUUCUUGUAGUUUUCAAUUUUUUCACUCAUUUUUGUUACUAAUUUACAGAAGCAAUGUGGAGGUGAAUAUUGUUUCACUAUUAAUAAUCAUCCUUCUUUCACAACACAAGGGAGUCCUCAAAUUCUGUACGUUACUUUUGAAUUUCUUGAAAAACUGUGAUUGUGUUUAUUUUAGCAAUAAAUUGAUUUAUAAUCUCGAGUUAAAUAUUUACUAAAAAGAAAGUAGUUGAUAAUGUAAAAGUUUUGUGAGGCUUUUUCAGCUUAUAACUUAUACGAAAACAAUUUAACUUUAUUUAUCCUUUGCUAUAGUAAUAGGUUGUACAUAAGUGCUUAUCAUAAUAAGCGCUUGUCUAUAAGCUGCAAAUAAGCUAUUUAUCCAAACAUGACUAGUUUACUAAAGUUUUUUUUGAACUGAACGAUUCGUGUAUUAACAUGUGAUCAAUCAAAUUAUCAGAAUGUCAAAAUAAUUUAGUAUGUCUGAGAUAUCUUUUUGAAUUAUUAGUAUUUUUUUUGGAAUAAGUAAAAUUUAUGUUGAAUUUUUCAUUGAUAUAAGAAGAUACAGUUUUUAGACUAUAGAGAGCAACAACCUAUAGGCUAAACAAACUUAUGAAUUUGGAACAGAAUUGAAGGGACAACAGGAGUGGACAUUGUUUCUGGUUUGCACUGGUAUUUGAAGCAUUGGUGUGGUUCACAUAUAUCUUGGGACAAAACCGGUGGCUCCCAACUAUUUUCAGUACCCAAUGUGGGGUUGUUGCCACGUGUUCACGACGCUGGAAUCUCGGUUAGGAGGCCUGUUCCAUGGAGCUAUUACCAGAAUGCUGUCACUUCUAGCUGUAAGCUACUUCUUUUUUGUUUUCAUAUAAUAUUUCUUUGGUGCUGUGUUUGGAAUUGGCAUCUGAAGAUUUCAUUUCAUUUUCAUGUGAUCUUGUUAUUUGGUUUUGGAAGAUUCUUUUGCUUGGUGGGACUGGAAAAGAUGGGAAAAGGAAAUCGACUGGAUGGCUUUGCAGGGUGUCAAUUUGCCACUUGCAUUUACGGGACAGGAGGCUAUCUGGCAGAAAGUGUUCAAGGUCAUUUUCAUACCAGUUUGUCUUUACAUAAUUCUUGGUAUGGGUUUCGCAUUGUGGUAUUUGUCACUCAUGGAAACUUUCUGAUAAUGGUUUUUGAGCCCACAAAUUAUGCAUCAUUAAACUAACUUUGGACAUUAAUGAAGCUGUUACUUUUAUUUCUAAUUUACAGAAAGCAGGAGUCUCAAAUAAAUUUUAUCUCACAUGGCAUUUGAUGCAUGAUUAAAAUAGAGGGAGAGGGGAACAUUUUUUGUUAUAUUUCAAUCUCGUCAGUCCCGUUAUUUUAGAUGUAACUUAAAUCAUAACUUAAAAUGUAGCACUUUACGUGGAAGCUCAAUAAUGAUUUACAUUUCCAGGACUCAAAAAAGUUUUCCAAGAGCCACUUCAUAUAGCCGGUGCUUUCCAUCUAUUUAAGUAACAUUUGAUUAGAUAUUUAGAUUUUAGAGGUAUGCUUUUCAGAUGUCAACCAAUUUUAUGCUACUAGCUUUUAGUGUUUUAAGAUACUGUCAUCACGACAUAACUACCACAAAAUACCAAAGCCGUGCUCUGUGUUUGAUCCAAUUUGCAUAUAGUUUGAUCCAAGUUUUACUACAAUCCAAUCUCCCAAGGAAACAUAUAAUGCUAUCUGGUAGUCUUGCAAGAUAUAGUAAAUGUGUAGGCACGGUUAGAUUGGUACCUUAGUUCUCUGGUACACUUUUUUUGCUGUGUAAUUCUUACCAUUUUCUGUUUCGAUGUUUUGGUUUUAUUGGCCUCUUGACGAUGGUAAGGAAAUAAAAAUGUACAACUUGAUUUAGGCCCUUAAUUGUGUCACUGGCUAGUUUGCUCAAAUCAUCGGACCAGCAGUUCUGUAAUCUCAGAUAUCGUGCAACAGAAUUCUACUCCACAAAAUAGCUCUUAAAUAGCUGACCUUAUAUUCAAUCUACAGGAGAAAUUUAACAUGAGCAUUUCUAAUUUGGAUGAUUUCUUUGGAGGCCCAGCAUUUCUUGCAUGGUCACGUAUGGGAAACUUGCAUGGGUGAGUGGUAAUUCACAGGCCUUCUGUAAGUUCCGUUUGAUAUUCAUAGUGUGUUUUUAGCUCAAGGCAGACGUAAAACUCAUAUAUUAAAGUAAUUUAUGUGGAAACUAGAAUAAUGAAUAUAUAAUUACUUUUCAGUUUCAUUAUGAAAUUGUCAAGCUUGAUGCUUUUAGUAAACACACUCUCUCUCUCUCUGAAUUGGCUAGAGUUUCAUUGUCAUCAUACCUGGAUAUAGCAGACAUAGUUUGAGAGAAUAAGUAAUUAUAUUUUAAAGGAUAUUUCAAUUGCAGAUGGGGUGGGCCACUGCCACAGAGCUGGUUUGAUCAACAAUUAAUCUUACAGAAGAAAAUUCUUGCGAGAAUGUACGAGCUUGGAAUGACUCCUGGUACUCAUUAGUCAUUACUAUCAUUGACUCUUCUACCAGACAGUGAUGAAUUAUUGUUAAAUUUUAUGCAAACUACAAAACAACCAAAGAGAAAAAAUAAAUAUUUUUCAUUUGGUUUCAGUUCACCUUCCACUCCUUUUCUGGAAGUAAUUUGAAUACUGAAUAAUUGCUUUUCAGUCCUGCCAGCUUUUUCUGGAAAUGUCCCUGCUGCCCUGAAAUCUAUAUUUCCAUCAGCAAAAAUAACACGCUUAGGAAAUUGGUAAGUACAGCAUUGUACACAUUGACUUGAACUUGGUGUAAUUAGUCUUACCAAACAACCACACUGGUUUAAAAGGGCGGUUUGUUAAGUGCUUAUUGAAUAAAUGUUUAUCAUUUAAGCCAUAUGCACAAGUUAUUUCCAUAAUAAAAUAUGAAACAUGCUUAAAUCAUUUUCAUGUAAGUUGUAAGCUAUAUAAAAAUUAUAUUCUAGGGAAGAAUUAUGAAAAUCAAUUAUUGAAGCUGGCUUGGAGACGUAAGUUGCAUGCUUAGCACACACUUAUACACUCUUCACCACACUACAAAAAUGUAGAGUCAUCUUACACAUUGAAGCCCUGGCACCUGUACAGUCUUCACCAGUUUAAAGCCAUAGACAUGUUUCCUGUGUCGGUAAUGGCUAAUAACAAAAAAUGUUUAGCUUUAACCCCUAUAACUGAGAUCAAUAAUGAGUGUGCUAAAAUCCUAGCAGUCACUGAUUUUAAUUUUCUAAAUAUUGAAUAUAUCUUGUGCCUGUACUAGUACAUAUAUACCAGUUUAUAACUGAGAUCAAUCAUGGAAGUGCUAAGUCCUACCAGCCACCGAUUUUCCUUUUCUGAAUAUUAUUGAUACCAUGUAUUUUUAUGGAUAAGCCUAAUUGAUGCAUAGGGAAGCACUUGUGUCCUAUUGAACUUCACCAACCUAUGUAGGCAAAACUGAUAGAAAACAGAGAGCCAGUCUGCAAAGAAUAAGCACACAGUCGCAUAAUGUGUGCAACUUAAUAUAGAAAAUAAACUCAGAAAUCUAACAAAAAUGCCAUAGGCCUGAAACCAUCUAGAAAACCAUCAAUAAUGACCUCAUAUCCUGUAAUUGUAUUCACUUUCCUGUUGCAUUUACAUCCAUGAACCUACCGCCUACACAUUUUAUUGACCGUUUUUUCUUAGGUUUUCUGUUAAGAAUGACCUCAAAUGGACCUGCACUUAUCUUCUUGAUGCAACUGAUCCCUUGUUCGUUGAGAUCGGGAGAGCAUUUGCUGAACAACAAUUGCAAGGUGAUAUACAUGCUUCUUUAUAACUUAAUUGGCAAUAAUGCACGACAUGGUAAAAAAUAAAAAUAAAAAAACAUUCUGAAAUAAAUAUCCACAUAUCAGUUAACAUUAUGUGUUAUUUGAUUACGUUUUCACCCAGAGUAUGGAAGAACCAGCCACAUAUACAACUGGUAUGUUCUUCUUUGCUCAUCAGUUAAUUAUAGAACUUUAAAUUUUAUUGCUCCAAUAUUUGUGAAAAUGACUUUCUUUUGGUUCAUGGAAUACUUUUCGAAUAUAUAUAUAUUUUUUUUAUGUAAUAUUGCAUACUUAUGGAGGUCCUUCCUAGCAUACAUUGGUAUUAUUUUGUCUAUGUAGGCUCCUCAGAUAAUAAAUGCAUAUUCGUUGGUAUUCCUUAAUUUAAUUUCAUGUUUGAAUCUCACCCUCAUAUAAUAAUUGUGAUGUGGCUGUCACAUCUUCCGUGUUAAGGAUUUUUCAUGUUCUUUCUGUUCAUCCGUCAGAAACAUACUUUAUAUAAGUAAACUCUUGUUGUUCAUUCUUAACUUUUUUAUGAAGCUAAUUUUAUGUCUCAAUAUUGUUUUUGUUAAACUAUAUAAUGGUGUACGUACUGGGCUCGGUAUAAUGUAACAAGAGGGUUUAAGUCCUGUUUUUACUUUAUUACUUUCAUUUGAUUUCUUAUGGAGUUGGGGUGUUAUUUAUUAUUAGUUACAACAGAUAAGCUAUUCCACUAAAUUAAGUUAUGCUUUUGAAUAGUAAGGAAAUGAUUAUCAUGAAAAAUAGAUAUUUUGUUAUGGAUCUCCAGCUCAUUUGAAUUAUGGUUUAUAUGUAUACACACCAUCACACUUUAUUAUAUUUCGUUUGUUCAUUAAAGAACUUGUCUUUCCAUGCAUUAACAUAUAGUAUGAUGGAUCAAUCACAGCGAUACCUUUGACGAGAACACCCCACCUAUUGAUGAUCCAGAGUACAUUUCUUCACUAGGUGCAGCAAUCUUUAAAGGAAUGCAGAGUGGUGAUAAUGAUGCUGUUUGGUUGAUGCAGGUAACAGAGAUUAGUCAGUUUUUUUUCUUUUUUCUUUCAAUUGAAUCUUGAUUUGAUGCUUCUAUGUUCUAGCUUCUGUAUAUAACUAUGCUAACAUUUUCAUGGAAGUAUAUUUUUGCAUCCUCUAAACUCUAAUAAUUCUUUGUUUAAUUAUGCAGGGCUGGCUAUUUUCAUAUGAUCCGUUCUGGAGACCUCCUCAAAUGAAGGUUUUUAUUUAUAAUUGUUUACCUCCUCCCAACUUCAUUCCUUGUUUUGACAGCAAAUCUUAAUAUAAGCAAAUCUUGUCUGAGAACUGGCUAUCAUUCUCGCUGUUUCGUUUACAAGGAUUUCUAUUUAAUAUUGAUUCUUGUGCCUUUUUCCUUUAAAAUGUGAUAGUUUCUAGGAAUCUCUAUUUUGCAUAGACUGUAACUAGCAAUCUUCAUCAGAACAGUUUUCCUUUUCUUUUUCCCUUCUUUCAGUGCCUGUUUAAGAUAAAGGGCUAGAAUAGUCUGUAUACGCAUUAGAAGAAAUGUAUUUUUUAUUCAAUAUAAAUGCUUUCUAGAAGUAGUUCACUGUUCACCCUGGUUAUUUAUUCUAACCAAAUUAUCAUUCAGAUGCAUAUGAAUUUUGUCUGUGAUUGUUUUCAGGCCCUUCUGCAUUCUGUUCCUGCGGGAAAGCUUGUGGUUCUUGACCUGUUUGCCGAAGUAAAACCCAUAUGGAUAACCUCAGAGCAAUUUUAUGGUGUUCCUUACAUCUGGAAAGUCAUUUUCUAUCAUAUAUUUAUAUUUUAAAAUAGGGUAAAUUACACUCCCUUUCAUAAGAGAAGUUUGGAUUAUACUCUCCUCUUCUCUUAUGUUAAAAUAUACACCUCCAUUCCUUGAGAAAUAAAUAAGUAUUACACUUAGGUUCAUCUUAAUGUAAACAAAUAUUUUGCUGAGAAGAUAAAAUGAAGCUUUAAAUACCCCUUUUAUUGGUUUUUGAUCUUCUGUUGAUAAUAGGUAUUUAAAGCUAUAUGUUAGUGACAUCGAGAAUUAAAAAUAGAGAAAUCAGGGGAAUGGUAUAUUAUCAAGGAUGGAAAUGGUAGAUUUUAACAUGAGAGGGGAGGCAUAGUUCAAGCUUUUUAGAGAGGAGGAAAGUGUGAUUUUCUCAAAAACAAUAAUGGCCAUACCCAUAUAAAUUUGUUUCAUCCAAAACAAGAUAUAUAUCCACUUAAAUGUGAAGAUUUAUAUCAUUCGAUGAGAUAAAUCAGGGGAGUAAAUUGAAUUAAUUCAUUUUUUAUUUAUUUAUGUAUAUGCAUUUUAUCAUUGAUUUUUUUAUGAAAAGUUAUAGCUUCUCACGUUUUUCUCUAUAGCCAAUGUUUGCACAAUUUUGGCUAUCAUUACACUUGCCUCCACUAUACUUAAUAUACAGGGGGCAUCUUCACUCUUACUUAAGCAAACAUGCAUACUUGGUAUAAAUAUGUGAAUACGUUUUCUAGUGCCUCCUAUAGUUUGACAUACACCAAAGUUUAAUUGGAAGUUAUCAGCUCGCACCCACAUUCAGCAGCUUAAACCAGUGAUUUUAGAGAUAUCUGCUAUGUAUAACUUAGAAAUGUUGUCAUAUGGAAAUAUAGUAACUAGCACAUAGAUUUAGAACUUUGAAGUUCGUUAUAUUAUACAUCUAGAUUAUCCAAAUCUUUGUUGUAUGCAUUCUUUUUCCUUUUGUUGUAUUUUUUAAUGUUCUUUUAAUUGACUGGGUGUGUUGUGCUUGACAGGUGUAUGCUGCACAAUUUUGCAGGAAACGUUGAGAUGUAUGGGAUAUUAGAUGCAGUAGCAUCUGGGCCAAUUGAAGCACGUACAAGUGUUAACUCAACAAUGGCAAGUUAUUCUUUUUUGUGGGACUCAAUUCUGUAUCUAAUGUGUCACUGUUGAAUUGCAGUAAUUAAGUAAUGAAAAACAAAAAGAGAUUAUAGGCUCACAAAGAGUAUCAAAUUGAUAUGCUCUAUUAAGAUUAUCAUUGUCAGGUGUGUUCAAAACUGAACCGAACUUACUAAGAUUGUAAGAUAUGAUAAAUGCUAAACACAUAUUUUUAUUAUUUUGAAAGAAAAUGCUUAAAACAUAUUAUUAUUAUUAUGAUUUACGCACGUAAUUUUGGUAAUAAUUUUUCUAUAACUUGUUUUUUUCUUAUGAAUUAUUUUUCUGACAAAUUCUAUAACUUCUUAAAAUCGUAGAAAUCAUAAUUCUUAUACCUGCUUGAUUUUCUGAAGGUUGGAGUUGGAAUGUCGAUGGAAGGUAUCGAACAGAAUCCUGUUGUAUAUGAUCUGAUGUCUGAAAUGUCAUUUCAGCACAAUAAAAUUGAUGCUAAGGUAACAAUGAAAUAAUAUAAGAUAUGUUGUACUAUUUCAAUCAAGGUCUUACUCUUACCAUGUUCUCAUGUUAGGGGGAUCUCCCGUGGGCCGUGACCUAUGGAACCCCUCACAUUGUAGGAGCCCAGUAUUUUUAAUAUAGAGAUGUGCUCAUAUUGUUUGCCACAUUUGGUUGAGGAGAAAUUUUCUACCACAAAUUUAGUUAUUCACCUCUACUUAGUAAUUUUGUACAUCGAAUAUAAUCCUGACACUAUUUUUCCUCUCUUCCCUCGUCUGCAACCCCCUUUCUAUAGAACAACCAGAAUAUUGAACCUCAGUUUGCUGAUAAUUAUGAUCAGAAUAUAUGAAGUUAUAUAGCUGCCUCUAACCUUGAAUAAAAUAAGCAUUACCAGGCGAACAAUGUUACGUAUUCCUUGUGGCAUUUUUAUUUUAUUUGUGGCAAUGUUAUUCUGAUUCGGCAUAGAUGCCUUGUGACCAUGAAGCUGUGAAGCACCGACACACACAAGGACAUCCGUACAUGACACUGACACAUAGACACUAGUAAUAAUUUGAGAAAAUGAAAGUGAUUAAAUGCAACCACUUGUGGCAGUGUCGGACACACUUUCAACUAAAAGUGUUAGAUAGCCUGUACGUCAAGGGUUCAUAUUUUGUAAAAGGUCUCUCCAUUUGCGGUGGUAAGGCUGUGUGUAUCUUCCAUCUCCAGACCCCACUUGUUGGGAGCCUUGUGCAUUGGGAACCCUUUAAUGAUAUUAUGCAUAUCUAUUAAGUCAUUUGGUUUUAACAAUAAAGCUAUUAAAUGUCUGAAGUCGAAAGCACUUCCCUUGUUCCAUGCUUUGCUUUAUUUAGUUUCUAUUUUCACUAACUUGGUAUUGUUUUCAGACUGAAAUGCAUUACGGUUGUUCCUAUUUCAGGCAUGGGUUGAUUUGUAUUCAACCAGACGAUAUGGAAGACAAGUUCCUUUGAUACAAGAGGGAUGGAAUGUUUUGUAUCAUACCAUAUACAAUUGCACUGAUGGAGCCUAUGUAAGUAGUUGGUUGUUACAAAUAACCCGCUGCUAGCAAUUUCUUCCAGUCGAACAACAUAAGACUAUUUGUUUUAAUUAUCUGUUCAACUUUUACCAUUGUUCAUUUACUGUCUCGCCUUCAUUGCUAAACUUCCAUUUUUCCUUUUAUGGUGUGUUGUAUUUAUGUCAAACAAAAUAAAUGAUUUAUGUAUUACUUUUUCUCCUCAAUUUUCUGUUCUCCUUUUAUCUCACAAACGACUUCUGUAAACUAAUAACAUCCUCAGCUGCAUAUAUUAUGUUGAAUUUCAACUUUGCAUGCAUAAAUAAGAAGAUCAUUUUCAGUUUUACCAAAUAUUUUUUGGUGUAUGGGAACAGGACAAAAACAGAGAUGUCAUUGUAGCAUUCCCAGAUGUAGACCCUUCCUUACUUUCAGUUCAGCAUGAACACUCUCGCCCCUAUGGCAAGCCAUUCUCGAGAGCAGUUAGCAAGGAAAUAACUGAUUCAUUUGAUCGACCUCACUUAUGGUAUUCAACAUCUGAAGUAAUUUAUGCAUUGGAGCUAUUUAUAUCUAGUGGAAACGAACUUCCAAAAAGUAGUACAUAUAGGUAAGAGAAGUUGAUUACUUAAGAAUUACCAGUCCUCAUUAAGUACCUCAAUGUUGUCUUAUUGUAUGUUAAGGUUCAAUAUCCAGAUUCUUACUUCUUCAAAAAAAAAAUCCAGAUUCUUACUAUUUUUUUUUUUUUAUAAGAAGAUUCAUGCUAUUUAUUCUUUAUUAGGUAUGAUCUUGUUGAUCUCACCAGACAAGUGUUAGCAAAAUAUGCAAAUCAGCUGUUCUUUAAGGUCAUUGAGGCAUACCAAUCAAGAGAUAUCCAUGAAGUGACCCUACUCAGCCAAAGAUUUCUUGACCUGGUGGAAGAUUUAGACACGUUGUUGGCUUGCCAUGAUGGAUUUCUUCUAGGCCCCUGGUUAGAUAGUGCAAUACAACUAGCUCAAAAUGAAGAACAGAAGAGACAGGUUUGAUUGCCUUCUAUAAGCAUAAAAUUGAAAAUCAAUCCGAUCCUAUACAUACUUAUGUUGAUUUACAGUUCUUAACAUUUUCAGUUUGAGUGGAAUGCUAGAACACAAAUCACCAUGUGGUUUGACAACACAGAGGAAGAAGCCAGUCUGCUUCGUGACUAUGGUAUGAACAGCAAUUAACAGAGAAAAAGAAAAUAAAAGUAGUGCGAUGUUUGGACAUAUUAAAUGAUUGUUUUACUAUUUUCCACAGGGAACAAGUACUGGAGUGGGCUUCUGAGUGAUUAUUAUGGCCCAAGAGCUGCUAUUUAUUUUAAAUAUUUGAGAGAAAGCUUAGAGGCAGGCGAGGAUUUCAAGCUAAAGGAAUGGAGGAAGGAGUGGAUAAAACUUACCAAUGAUUGGCAAAGCCGUAGAAAUAUAUUUCCAGUUGUAAGCAGAGGAGAUGCUUUAAACACUUCAAGGUGGCUCUUCAACAAAUACCUGAACCUGAGCAAUCCUGAGACACCGGGAGCUGUUUCAAUGAACAUUAGUCUUAAGGGGGUGUAUUUGAAUCAUGAUUCUAAGGGAUUUUAAAAGACUUUUUUAUUAUGAAAAAGUCUUGUGGUAUUCAAUCAAGACUCUUUCCAAUUUAAAAAAAGUCUUGUGUUAUUCAAUCAAGAUUCCUUGUCAUUUUAAAAAAGUCUUGUGGUAUUCAAUCAAGACUCUUAAUCACUUAAAAAAAGUCUAGUGGUAUUCAAAAAAAUUCAAAUUUCGAAGGAUUGUUUAAUAAAUCAGAUUUUGAUGGAUUUUGUGGGAUUUUCUAGUGAAAUUUUAGCAUGAAAAAGUUUUCAUGAAAACAUGAGAUUUUUAGGAUUGUUUUUUUCUUUUAAGAUUUUACUAUCUCUUCCUCUCUCUCCUCGCUUCUCUCUCACUCUCUCUUUUCCUCUCCUCUCUCUCUCUUCUUCCUUCUCUCUCUCUCUCUCUCCUCCCUUCACUCUUUNNNNNNNNNNNNNNNNNNNNNNNNNNNNNNNNNNNNNNNNNNNNNNNNNNNNNNNNNNNNNNNNNNNNNNNNNNNNNNNNNNNNNNNNNNNNNNNUUUUUUUCAAUUAUUUCUUAAAAUUCAUAAAAUCUAUUGAAAUCUCUUGAAAUCCAUAAAAUCAUUUCAAAUCCUUUAAAAUCUUAUAAAUUAAAUCCAUUGAAAUCCUUAAUAAUAUUUUAAAAUCAUCAAAUUAAUCAAAAUCCAUCAAAGUCUUUUAAAAUCAUUAAGACUUUUUUAAACAAAAAUUGUCCUUUAAAAUCCUAAUCCAAUACACCCUCCUAAAUGUAUAUGAAACCAAAACCUUGUUAAUGUGGGAAUGGAACUCGUGGUUUUCUGGUGGUGCAAAAUAUGUACAACAGACAUUUGGAGACAGUUUUUUCUGAUUGAUGGGAGAAUAACUGGAUAAGGAUCAUUGUCCAAAAAAUAACACUGAAUAUGGAUCCCAUUGUUUAAUAUUAAUUGACCAUCAGGCAAGGUGUCUUUGAUGAAUGAAUUGGAAUAUUAUUUUUAUAAAAAAAAAUCUAAACAAAACAUUCCGACCAUGAAAAUAGAAGAAGAAAUAAACCAAAGUAGAUCGAAGCUGACAAGCUAGGUUUCUUGUGUGAACAAACCAGUUUGAGGAGGAAUCACACUAAAUCAUACGCGCAAGAACUUUGUACCUUUGAAUUUCUUUUGUAGAAUUAUUCGUUGGAAAAAUGGCGGUCCUAUUGACUUUUUCUUUUCUCGUUAAUAUUUUUUUUUGUCAAUCUUUCUUCAUUAAUCUAAUAAGGGAAAUGUUGACGAGUAGGCCGGGCACUCUUUAACACCUUUAAAUAAUAAUUUUGUAUGAAAAUAUAUGUAAUUAAUACUUUGGAAAUUGAAAUAUUAGCUUUUUUUUAUAAUAUAAUUUUUUUUUUAAAUCCUUAAGAGUAUCUGGACAUCGUUAACGAGAUCCAUUUAAUAAAUAUAAAGUGGAAAAAUGGAGUUUUUUUAGAGGUUUUAAUUCACUCCUAAUUUAUUGUAGCCACGAAUACACCAUUAUCCAAUAAAGAUACUUUAAUAAAGUGUAUUUUUUUUUACUUGACCAAAGAAGGAGUAUUUUUUUUUUCUCCUUCAUUAUACAUAUGUUUUAACGUGUGCGAAAGGGAUAAAAGAGUGAUUGAUUGUGAAAUUGAAGGAGUAUCUCUAUAAUUGACGGUGACGAAACCACCCAGAUUGGUCCUAGAGCUUUCAAAGAAUAAGUGCAUAGCCGCCAAAGCAUAAAAAAUGAGGCCAACAAUUCUAGACUUCGAAAUUUGAAUCAUAACGUAAGCGCAAGCGUGUGUUUUUUAUGGGAAUUAUUUUUCAUGAUCUUAAUCAAAAUACACGUUUUCCAGAAGCUUCCCCAAUGAGAAAACGAGUUAUCUUGUUGUGGAUGUCUCCUUAAAGUGUCAAAGUCCACGUCAUAACAUUAACUUAACACAUGUUAUUAAGAUUUUGGUGGAUUGCUUAAUCUACUUUGCCAACUACUUUUGAACAAGUCCUUCUAGUCCUAUAAAAAUGCAUUGAACUCGUUCUCAAUUCUUCAUCUCCAAAUAUCAACUCAAUUCUUUCUCACAUAUUUUUUCAGCUCUCUCCCCCUUUGAAGAAAUGGAUUCUCAUGGCACAUCCUGGGCUGACCAAUGGGACGAUGGUCCUGACCCUUUGAAUGGUUCCAACCAAUCCAAAAAGAAGAGCAACAAAGACAAAGUCCUAGACAAGACCAAGACAGUUGCAUCUUCUGGCGUCAAGAAGUUGAAGGAGGGUACCUCCGUUAGCCUCCAAUGGAUCAAGACCAAGUAUAACAAAACCACCCAAAAACAUUAAAAGUUACUUUUAGUUUCUAUUCUAUUUAUUGUACAUGUUAAUAUUUAGUCCUUUGUUUUGUUUUUUUAACUGGUUGAUUACUACUAUCACCUACCAGUAUGUCUUUAAUUUGAUCUUUCAAUUCAUUUAUUCUUAAUGUGUGAGGUGAGUUUUGAUGGACAUAGCUCUUUACUCUGUACAGGAGAUAUGGUUGUAUUGUAUCUUCCGUUCGAGUAUUUCUUUUUUUUUUUACUUGAUGGUUUAGGAUUGUUGUACUGUAUACUUAUGUAAUAAAGAUUGAUUUUUCAAUUUUAUAGUUUUAUCUGGUGGCCAUCUAGAAGUUUCAAAAUCAACAAUUAAUUGCAACGUUGGUUCUCAAAAUUAACAAUUUUAACAAGAAUUACAACGUCAUGAUUAAUCACCUUUUGUAAAAAAAAAAAAAAACGCCCGGUUGUAGAAGGUCUAUAUCCAACUGUCCAUAUAGCCGGUUGUAGAAAUCCUCUUUUCUAUAGAAUUUUAUGUCAUACCAAAAAUUAUAUGUCAUAACAAAAAUUUCACUUACUUGAAUAAAAUUUUAUGGGGAUAAUUAUGUGAUGGCUAGACGGCGAAAAUGCACAUAGGAGAGGAGAUGGUUGCAAUACGACGAACAGCGAUGGAUGUUGGUGGUGUAGGCAGACAGGUUGGAGAGGGAGAGUAUGAAGGGAAAUAAGAAGUUUGGGUUUGGAGGGAGAAUGGGGAAGUACAUUUGGUUACUACUUUUCCAUUCUCCUUGCGGGCGGACAGAGAGAAUGAAAAAUGACACUUUGUAACUUUAAAUUUUUAUUAUCCAUGUUUGACUGUGUUUUUUUUUAAAGGGUUGGUUUUCAGUUUUUAAAUACUAUUUUAUAAAUCAAUUUUACAUAGCUAAAUUUAAAAAUAAAUUUUUUAAAAAUGUGUCUGAUAAACUAAUCUUAAAGAUAGUUUUAGAAAUGAGCAAAUAAAAACUUGUUUGAUAAUUUAAUCUUCAAAAUAUGCUAUGAACACUAAAAAAAGCAUACACUUUGACUUCAAAAUUUAAUUAAUAAAUUUAAUUUAAAAAAUGUAUUUAAGCGAAUUUAAAUAUAUGGUGCAUCAAUUUUGUAUCCUAUAUUGGUAUACAAAAUUCAAUUAUUUAAGGAAAAAUAUGGAAGAAAAAAGUUUGUAUCUCUUUUAUGUAUAAGUAAAUAUAGAUUUUUUUUUGUGUGAAAGGGUAUAAGUAAACAUAGAUAGAUACAUUCAGUGUAUUAUUAUUAUUAUUAUUAUUAUUAUUAUUAUUAGAGUAAUGAUAAGUGGAAAUCUUGUAUAUGAGAACAUUACCCACUAUUGGUGGUUGUUGAUUGUUGUUCACGUAAAUGUAGUUCUGACAACUCCACAAUAGUUGGCGGCGUAACACUGAUGAUCCGUAAACAUCAGUAGUUGGACUCUGUCCAUGACGGUUGGCAAUAAGCUUUGAUAGCCCCUCACUAUGGUCGACCGCUUUAUACUGCUAUUGGUGUUAUUUAUUUAUAAAUAAAUAUUUUAAUAAAAAUUUUAAAAAAAUUGUUCAUUUAUUUAAUUUAAUUUUUUUUUUAAAUAUGGUGUCCCUAUAUAUGGGGUUGUCAACCAAAAACUACUAUCCUCUAGAAAAAAACCAAAAACACCCUUAUCAUCACCAUUGACUUUGAAAUUAAAACAGUAAGGAUGCGUUUGAUUUAUUAAAAUAUAGAGGACAGGACAGAACAAUAAAAGUUGUGCGGUGUUUGAUCCAAAAGAUAACAAUGGAACAGAACAAAAACAGUAGCGGAGCACUGGACAAGUCUCCCGAAAUUUGUAACCCGCUUAAUUGGAGGACAAGUUUUUGUCCGCUGGACAGGAGAGCAAAAGACAACGUAACCCCUAUGAUUUUCACUUUCUGUAAGCAGCAGAAUAUUUUAAUUUUUAUUUUAGCUUUGCUUUGACAUUGCUUUUCCAAUUUUGUUUAUCACAUUUUUCAUUUAAAUUUUUUUAAUUGCCACUUUGUUGGUUGCACAACACAACAAAAUAUAAACCCAGGUCCAAUAUAUAAUUAUAAUAUUUUUGUAUAAUACAUUAACAUCGUUAGUUUAUUCGUACAUUUUAUUAAAUAACUAAUUUUUAAUCCAUAAUAUGAUAAUGGAUUUUCGAUAGAUAAAAAAACAAUUUUAAGUUUGAAAAUUUUGAUAUUCUAUAACUAAUAAUAGUUCCAUUGAAACAUUACACUGUGAGGGAUAUCAUAGUAAUUUUAACAUUCUUUAUCUUGUGUUGUACAUCAACUAUCAAACAAAGUAUAAGACAAUAAAUUGUGCUUUAACUCAACUAGCUGUCCAGUCCUGUUUUGUCUGUCCUGUCCUUUAUUGCGAAUCACACGCACCCUAAAGCUAUCCCAUAUAUUGGUAGUGUAAUAUUAUAUGAUACUCAUUCGGCCUUUAUUAAAAGAAGACAUAUUCUCAAUGCAAUCUUUAUUGCUAAUAAAGUGGUGGAUGAAGCAUACAAGUUUAAAAAGUAAUUAUUACGAUUUUAAGAAGGUAUACAAUUGUGUGGAUUAGAAGUAUUUAGACACUGUAAUGGGGAAGUCGAAUUUUCAAUUUUUGUGGAGCAAACUAAUUUUGGAAUGUGUGUGUGUAUUGCAACAACAUUGAUGCUUAUGAAUGGCAGCUCAACUCAUGAAUUUGAAUUAAGACGGGGUUUGCGCCAAGUUGAUCCACUAUCUCCAUUUCUUUUUUUGAUUACUAAUAAAGGACAAAAUGGUAUAUUAAAUGCUAUUGUAGAUGCUUGUUUAUUUUUUGGUUAUACUCUUGGACAAACUGAGGCAAUGCAUGAUUCACAUUUAUUAUUUGCUGAUUAUGGAAGAGAAAAUUGGGUAAAUAUGACAGCUUUGAAAUCUAAUCUCAUUCUCUUUGAGGUAAUUUCAGGUCUGAAGGUGAAUUUUCACAAAAGUUUGUUGGUGAGAGUGAAUGUGUUUAAGUCUUGGAUGGUUGAUGCAUCAUUGGGGUUGAAUUGUAAAAUUGGCUAUAUUCCUUUUUUGUAUCCGAUCUUCUCAUAGGAGGCGACUCUCGUUGGUAAAACUUCAUGUAUUUUUCAUGUCCUCUUUGCCAGUUUCUUUUCUUCUUCAAAGCUCUGACAUGUAUUAUCUCCUCUAUUGAAUUUUUUUUUGGGGGGUUCUGAGGAUGUUAGGAAUACUCCAUAGAUUAAAUGAGACACUAUUUGUUUGGAUAAGGAGAAUGGAGGAUGUAGGUUCGGAGUAUUCGAGAGUUUAAUUUGGCUCUUCUAAAUAAAUGGUAUUGGAGAAUGCAUGUUGAGUGGCGGAGUCUAUGGUAUAAGGUUUUAGUAGUCAGGUAUGGUCGUGAAAUUUUUUUUUUUCUGACCCUAUUGGCCAAAAAAAAUUCAGCUUUGACCCCCUUUGAAAAAAAAUUUCCAAAAUGACCCACUUUUUUUUUUUUUUUGUCCUUUAGCGCGUUUCCGCCAUUUGAAACGACGGGACUGGCCGCCGGUCUGACACAUGUCACAUCGUGACUGGUCAGCUUUUUAUUUUUAUUUUUUUCUUGUCAGUUUCACACACCAUGAGGCAUGAACCAUCCAAUUUUUCAUUUUUGUUCCCUCAAAAAAAAAAAAUCAUUUUUGUUUUUUUAAUAUAAGUCUUAUAAAAAAAAAAAUAUAGGGUCCCCAUGAGCUUAGAUUUUAAGGUAAAUUUCUCUAGCUACUAGGCUAUUUAACAAAAAAAAAUAUAGGAGAUUUUAUAAUUUUAAUUGGAUUCUAUAUUUUAUUUUGAAAAAUUACUCGAAUAUGAACAAAAUCUAGAUUUUAUUUUGAAUAUAUAUAUCUUGAAAUAAUAUAUAUGUCAUUUCGUCGGAUAAUUUAUCGGUGAAAAAUAUAUAUUUCGUCGGAUAAUAAUAAUAAUAAUAUAUAUAUAUAAUUUAUCGAUGAAAAAAAUUAAUUCGUCGGAUAAUUUUUCACCGAUAAAUUAUAUAUAUAUUCGUCGGAGAUCCUAAAUUAUCCAAUUAAAAAAACAAAAAUGAAAAACUGGAUGGUUUGUGGUGUGUGAAACUGAUUUAAAAAAUGGUAUAUAUAUUAUUGGAUGCGAAAAAUUAACAUCAAAUGUACAUUGGCUUAAUGGUAACACUGAAUGGCAAUGACCCAUAUGCACCUGGUUCGAUUCUCCUGGGUGCAAAAUUGAAAUUUUUUCUCAAAUAAAUUAAAAAAAGCAAAAACGAAAAAAAAAUAAAAAAAUCGGUCCCGCCAAAUGGCAGGAAUGAUAAAAAAAAAAAAGCUGACCAGUCACGAUGUGACAUGUGUCAGAUCGGCGGCCCAGUCCCUCCGUUUCAGGUGGCGGGAACGCCACUAAAAGACAAAAAAAAAAAAAAAGUGGGUCAUUUUGGAAAAAAAAUUCAAAAGGGGGUCAGACUGGAUUUUUUUUUUGAAAAGUGGGUCAGAAAAAAAAAAAAAUUCUAUGGCCGUAGGGUAGGAAGGAGGUCGAGUUAAGGUGGGAGGGAGGUUGGGGUCAAGUUCGUGGAAAUAUUUAAUACGUAUUCAUAGAGGUGUGGGUAGUUGGUUCGAAGAUAAUUUAGUGUGGCUGGUCAGUGAUUGGGCCAAAACUUUUUUUUUUUUUUUUGGAUCAGUGGUUGGAAAAUGGUCUUUUAUCUGAGAAUCAUAUGGUGUCAAUGGCUGAUAUGUGUUCAUUAGGGCAGGGUGUCAGGGAAGAUUCUUGGAUGUGGUGGAGGAAGUUAUUAGCUUGAGAGGAGUAACAUGUGAGGGAGUGUUGUGAAUUGUUGUUUAACAAUUUUUUACAUGAUGAUGUGGAAGAAAGAUGAGAUUGGAAUCUUGACAUAAAUGCUAAACAAUGAGAGGUGUAUAUCACAUGUUGUCUAAAAUGGAGUAGGUGGAUCGAUCCGACAUACCUGAUAUUGUUUGGAACAAAGUUGUCCCUUUCAUAUUUCUUUAUUUUCUUGGAGGUUGUUACAUAAUUGGGUACCUACGAAGGACAAUUUGUUUCAACGUGAAAUCAUAUCGUCUAAUUCUAAUAUGUGUUCGAGUGGUUGUGGGUCGGAAAAAAGCGUCAAUCAUUUUUUUUGUGCUUUUUAUGGGAGUGUUUAGUCACAUUGUUUGUGAUGGUUAUGUAUACACUCGGCAAGUUCAUUGCAUCUUUCUGAUCAUCUCAUGCAAUUAGGAAAUUUAGGAGAUGACUCUAAAAAAAUAUGGCCUUCUCUUUACCUGAUUUGGUUGUCCUGCGUUUGACUUAUUUGAAAGAAAAGAAAUUGUCAUAUUUUUUAACAAAAGGAUUCUUCAAUUCAUCGCUUGACAAACAAAGUGAAAUUACUAUAUUGUUGGUGGCUGAAAACGAAAAAAAUGGUAAUUUUGCUUUUGAUCUUCAUUACUAAUGGAUCAGUGUGUUUCAAUGUUUGGAUUUUGCCACAAAGCUAGUAUUUUGUUGAUUAUUUUUUGGACUAUUACUUUUUCCACCCUAUCCAAUUCUCACGCACCCUGUAAAAUUUUCAAAAAUGCCCUUGGAUUUUCCGAUUAUAAAAUCCGAAAACAUUCGAAGUGAAUUCAGAUUACGCAAUCCGGACAAUGCUUAUUUAUAAUCAAUCAUCAGACUCUUUCACAUUUCAGUAGUUUUGCUUUUAAAAAAAAACCAAAAUACUAAGUAAAAAAUGCUGAAAACCAGUCAAAUAAAAUCAUAAAAAUACCACCAAAAAAUUCUAAAAAUCAAAUAAAACUAAUGCAAAAAUUUUCGGAUUUUUCUGAGAAUAUGAAAAAUUUUAAAAAAUGAAAAAUGGGUUUAAACGGUGGAAUUUUGGAUUUUGAGGGGCGGAGUCCCGUUAGAAGUCCCUUCUACGAGAGUCUUGAUACUUGAUUUUCUUCUGAUUUUCUGGGGAAGUUUCGGAGCAAUCCGAUCAAUUAACCCGAAAACCCAAUUUUUGACUAAGAACAACUAACAAUGACGAAAAACAAAAGGAUGAGAGUUAGAAAUAUUAAUAUUGUCCAUAAAAUGACUAUCCAUGUUACAAACAUGUUCACUUGAAAAAAUGGUGUUUACGGGGUGUUCAAAUUAUAUAAUCUGAAAAAUUCAAAUAGCGCACCCUAUUUUUUUAGGGUUUCGGAUUACAAAAUCUGAAAUUGUGAAAAACUCAUUUUUUUUCACCCUAGGGUGGGAAAAACUCAAAUUCGGAUUACACAAUCUGAAGGGCAUUUUCGUAAAAAAAUAGGGCGCGCGAGAAUCGGAUAGGGUGGAAAAAGUAAUAGUCAAUUUUUUGGGUGUUUAAUUGGUUUGUAUUCUAGGUUUGUUGUAACUUUCUGAACUUUGUCUUACAUUUCUUUUGAGGUUGGAAUUCCUUGUUGGCAUUAAUAUAUUUUUCAUUUUGGUGUUUUUUUUAGAAAAAAGUAAAGCUAUCCUGUAUAAAAAAAUCGUACAUCUAUCCGCUAUCCAGUAAAUAAAAUCAGCAAAUCCUUAUAAAAAAAAAGGUCAAACGCAUCUAAAGGUCCUUUAAGUUUUUCAUUUUUCCUAAAGUGGUCCUUUAAGUUUCAAAAGUCCCAAACAAGUCCUUUUAGUUUUUGAAUCGUUUCAAACAAGUCAUAUUGUAGAUAGCAUAGUUGGUAAUUGCUUCCUUGAACUCAUCUUUGGUACAAAAUCUGGCUCCUAACACCCACUUAAAAUUAGUCAUCUUUUUAGGCAUGACAAAUGGUGGAUAAUGUUCUUUGUUGUUAUCAUCAUCACCAUCAUCCUUUAAAAUGACUUGUUUGAAACGAUUCAAAAAUUAAAAGGACUUGUUUGGGACUUUUGAAACUUAAAGGACUUGUUUGAGACUUUUAAACUUAAAUGACCACUUUGAAAAAAACGAAAAAAACUUAAAAGGACCUUUAGAUGCAUUUAACCUAAAAAAAAAAAAUCAUUAAAUGGACGUCACGACCACAAAAGGAGUUUUUUUUUUUUUUUUAAACAACCACAAAGGAGUUUUGUGAAACAGGAAUAUACAAAACCACAUUUCAUUCAAAAAAAAAAGGAAUAUACAAAACCAAUUUUCAACAUUUUAUUUUGUUUCUUUAUUUGUAAAAAAUUAAUUUAGUUGCUUAAAUAAUAUUUUAAAAGUUUUACUUAUUUACUAAAUUCCCAUUAAUGAAAACAAUGAGUUUUUCGUGUCUUUUUAAAAAAAAUUGAAACCAAAACACAUUUAGGGGGUGUAUUUGAUUGAGAUUUUAUCAGACUAUUUUGGCAAACUAAAUCCUGAAGAUUUUAAAAGACUUUGUGAGAUUAUGUUGGAUUUUAAAAGAUUCUUUUAAAUGACUCUUUACAAUCAGGAUUUUGUAAAUGGAUUUAUAGUAGAGAUUUUUUAAGAUUUCAACGGACUUUACGAGAUUUUAUGUUUUUUUUUUGUGGUCGAGGUUUGAACCCCAGACCUUGCAUAUAUUAUGCAUUUGUCCAUAGCAACUGAGCUAAGCUCACGAUGAUCGAGAUUUUAGGAUUUAAAAGAACUGUAUGAAUUUUGAAGAAAAAUUCAAAAUGUAAAAAGAUUAUCAACUUAUAAUUUGAAAUUGACUAAUAAUAAUUCUAAUAAUUUACUCAAAAUAAUAAUAAUAAUAAUAAUAAUAAUAAUAAUAAUAAUAAUAAUAAUAAUAAUAAUAAUAACGCCUAAAAAAAUAAUGGUCACUGACAUAAAAAAAAGGUCACUUAGCAAAAUAAAAAACAACAACGAAAUAACAAAAUGUUUACCGCAAUCGUAAGUAUCUAAACCCUAAACAAAACACUCUGCUAUAAAACAAAUAAUGGUAAUAAAUUACAAGAAAUAGAUGACUUGAAAAAACCUAAAAAUCUGUAACAUUAACAGUAAAAUGUAAUGAACUAGUGUAACGCCCCGUGCCAAGCACGGGAUACAUUUUAUUUAAAUUUUUUUAAUAUGAUUUAAAUUUUAACAGAUUUUUUAAAUAUUAUUGUUUUUGUUUCUUUUCAUCCAUAAUUUUGACGUUAUGUGGUAUUUUAUCUUCGUAUUUAAAAUUGAACAAUAAAUAAUCAUUUAUUGAGAUCAAAAAGUUAAAUUUUAUAGAUGACUAUUUUUGUGAGAGUGAUAAAAUAAUCAACAAAAGUACAAUUAAACCCAAAAGAUAAAAACACUAUAAAUAAUUAAUAUAUUUCUAAACAAUUAACUAAUUAGUAAGAGUUUGUAUUAGCUUUGGUUUGUCAGUCAUUCAAUAUAUCAAAUGGAUAUGAUUACCUAUGUUUUAAUUUUUCACUCUUAAUAAAAAUAUUAAUUUUUUACUUAAUCACAAUGAUCUCUAUGAUCGCAAUUAUAAAUAAAAAAAACCUAAAUUCAAAAUUUUAGUUACAUCUAUUAUUUUUAUUGGUUUCAUAAAUAAUAUUCAUUGACAUUAUUUUUUUAAUUUAUGAAAAUAAGCACAUUUUUGAAUAAAAUUUACCUCAUAAAUAUAUGUAUAUUUUGUAUUUCAUUAAAAAAAAUGAAUUUUUAUGUUAAAUUUUGAAUAUAAAAAAAGCAUUAACAAAUCAUGUUUGGUUUUAUAUUUGUGAACAAAAAAUAAGUUUAAAACACAAAAACAAUAUUUUUAAAAUAAUAGGUUAUCGCUAAUUAUUCACACUUAGGGAAACUUAAUUUUUGUAUUUACUUUAGAAUUUGUGUAAAGUUUAAGACAUAAGUAAAUUGUAAAUAGAAAAUAUGGAAACUGAUUUUUUUUUAUUGAAUUGUCAAUACAUGCAACAAAAACGAUUUGUUCAAUUGAAAAUUGAAAUUCCCAAGACAAUAAAAGAGGUGCCGCAUCACCAUACAAAAUAACAUUAUACCAAAAGGUGUACAAACUUUACCAAAAUAGACCUGUAAUAAAAUAAAAUAAAAAACCUUAUUAACAUUCUUCAACUCCUCAAUAGUGGUCCUAGGAGUAAGUAAGAGAAACUCCUCAUUUACAGGUAUGCGAGAUGAAUUUGGUAACUGGAUCAAUCCCGAUGCAGGAGAAUUUGUAUUUGCACUAAGAAAGCUAUAAUAAAAAGUAUCAAUCAAUAAUAUUAUAACUUAAGAAAAAAAAAUGUUAUAUUAAAAAAAAUAUAUAUACCUUUUCCUUAUUUCCUUUGUUUCACCCAUUUCAGGAUUGAAUGUGAUUCUAGUGUAAGAAAAUGCAUUUCGCAAUGCUGGUUUUCCUAUCAUUAAGAUUCAAAAGUAUAUGAAUCAAGUAUAUAUAUUCGUAUAAACAAACAAUCACAAUUGCUAGUCAUAAAUUAUUACCUUGAAACAAUUUAACUUUUGUCAACAUAAUGGCUACAACAGCAUUUUGAGAUUCACCGGAAGAUAGGAAAGAGUUCAGCUCUUCAACAUACUCUCCAAAAAGAGUACAUUUAAAACGGUACGUACCUAUUUAAAAUUGUCAAAGAUUAUACAAAUAUUAAUAAAAAUAUUAUAAUACAGGUCUUGAAAAAUUACAAUUACAAAAAAAAUAAAUCAAACCUACCCAUUUGAAUCCAAUUCAAUGACAUUCAUUUUAGUUUUUACACCAUCUCUUUCGUACUCUCUUUCAACUCCAACUCCAAUCAUGACUCCAAUUACAUCUGCAUAUAUAACACACAUUAAAAUAUCAAUCAAAUUACUAUUUAUUAUUAAAAGAAUAUAACGUACAAUUGAAUCAUAUUAAACAAAACAUUUUAUUAAUUCAAUAUAUAAAUUAUUGUGUUAUUUUUGUAAGCAAAAAUAAUAUUUAAAAAAAUCUACAUGAAGAAAAUUAUAGUCACUUACCAACUAAGUAGUUGUUGUCGUAAGAUUCAUUGAAAACAUCAGGUGCAGGUGUAAACGAAUACACGUUUGUUGGGACCAAAACAGUUUUAGAUAGUUUGACUUUUGUGUUGAUUGUGAAAUUCAGUUUGUAUUCGUUGCGUGAUGGUCGAUACGAACCACUGUUGCUAGCAACAUUAAAUGAGGAAAUCGUGAACACCAUUCCCUCUUGGAGUUGUUCCUUGAACUUGUAGAUCAAUGUUCUUCGUAUAGACGCACCAAUUCGAUCACCCUAGAUAAAAAAGAUGAGAACACUAUACUUUAAACAAAAAAAUACUAAAAAAAAAAAAAAAAAAAAACGAUAUGAAAAAGGUACCUUUCGAUCCAUUAGAACCAACUCCAUGGAAAAUGGUAGUUUUUUAUUUUUGUAGUCUUGACCAAACCAAGCACGAACAACCCUCACAACCAAUGUCCACGAUUGUUUUCUUGGCGAAACAUUAGAGAUGAAGUUGUGUUUCGUUGACAUUUUCCUUUGCAAUAGAAAAAUUACAGAAAUAGUUUAGAAUAUAGAUAUCAGAGCACCAAAGAACAGAAAACGAAGAACUAUAUUUUGUGAUUGUUGUGUACUCAUACCCAAAAUCUCUACUAUUUAUAUAGAAAAAUAGUACCAUAACGGUUAAUAUAAAUUAAUUAUCAAUUUGACCGUUUUAAAAUUAAUAUUAUCAACGUCUUUAAUAUUAUAAAACGUGCAUUAAACGAUUAAAUUAUAUUUCAUGUAACGUACAAAAAAUUAACUUCAUAACAUUUGAAAUUUAAUUUAAUAUUUAAUAAUAUCUUAUAAAUAAUUAUGUAAUAUAGUUUUGUAACAAACAAAAAUUAAUUAUAUAACCUUAAAAACUAAUUAAUACAAUUAAUUUUUUAAUUAGUAGGUUAAUGCCUUAGUGUAACGUCCCAAAAUUCAAAAUAUAAUUUAUUCAGUUUAUUUAUUAUAAUUUUGUAACCAACCAAAUUUUGAAUGUUACAUAUAAAUGUUAAUUGAAUACUAAUUAGAUUAAUAAUUAUUUGAUUUGUAACGUUCAAAUUUUUAUUGUAAAAUAUAAAUUUUAAUCGAAACAGUAAUUAUAUUAAUCAUUAUCUGAUUGUAACCAACUAUUUACUUUAUGUACAAUUUAAUGUUAAAUAAAAAACGGUUUUUAAUAAUAAUUAAAAUUAUUAAGCUUGUAUUAAAAAUUAGGAGAAAUUUUGGGAACAUAUGCCAAGUAGGCUUUUGAUGAGGUGGACAUACUUAGAGAAAAGGAAUUUGAAAUAGGCUAUUUCUAAGAACUCUAAAUUGUUAGUAUAAAGAUAUGUAACGUGAAUUUCUUUUAAAAAGGAUUUAUUGCUCUUAUGAAAAUUCCUUAAAAAAAUGAGACAUGCUGUGUAUGUAUGUAUAGUCGAGAUCGAGUCUAUUUUUUAACGUUAGCACUGGAAAUGGAUUUUUUCUAAUUUUUAGGAAUCAUUAAAUAUUGUUUGGACGAUUAAUUUAAUUUUGGAAUGCAUUUAUUAUGAAAAUAAACCCAAAAUAGAAAAAACAAACCUGCUUACUGCGUACAUAUUAUUGUUCAUUAACAAAUCAACCCAAAAACCAGAAAACCAAAAAAUAAAAAUAAAAACAACAAAAAACCACAAACAUUUCUUUGCAUCUUCUCAACUCCCAUUCUCAUCAUUGUUUCAAGUAUUCCAAAACUAUGGCCAUCAAAGCUCAUCCAUUAUUUUCAAUGGUUCUAGGGUUUACUCUACCCUUGAUAGCAUCACUACUACUAUUACUUAUGCUCCUUGCCGGCGCCUUGGUCAUAGUAACAUGUUACCGCCUUAUCCAAAGGUUCCAACACCAGAGUUUCCUCACUAGCAUCUCGUUGAACGAUGUGGAGUCCCAGUCCACAAUGGUGGAGGCCCCACACGUACACGCCUGUGGCUUGGAAAAGAGUGUUAUAAACGCUAUUCCCUCGUUCAUCUACAAUACCACUAAAUCUAAACAAGAUGAAUCUAAUCAUGAGUGCACCAUUUGCUUGGUUGAAUUUGAAAACAAUGAUUACAUUCGCACCCUCCCUCUUUGUUCCCACAUUUUCCAUCUCGCUUGCAUUGAUGCUUGGCUUCAUAAACAACCUAGCUGUCCUCUUUGUCGCUCAUGUCUUCGUUGUGAUCAAUUUGAUAAGUCCCCUUUGAAACCUAUGAUGUCGGAUAGAAUCCACCCCUCCUUUCAUGACCACAUGCCUUUCCAAAUCUCUCAUUCUCACUCUGUAAUUCAAUCAGUGAUGGAAAUCACACUCUACUCCAACAAUGACGAUGAUAAUCACGGUGUAGGUGAUGGGGCACCGGUGUUUGGAGCAACAAUGCAGGUUCCUUAGGGAUGUCAAGCAUGAAGUCGUCGCAUUUUUUUUCUCUUUCAGUCAAGGAGGUUCUUUCUAGAGUCAGACUCGACCCAAUAGUAAAAUACACGGGUUUAAUGUUUAGUUGAGUUAUUAGUUAUUAUAUUAAGGUUGACCUUAUAUAAUUCAAAUAUUUAGAAAUACGUUAACAAUUAGUUUGUAGGAACUUCUAUGGUACACUCACAAUUUUGAGUGUACCGGUACUCUUGUUUCACAAAAUAUAUAAAUUAAAGAUCACUUUAAUGAAAUAAAAAGGUAUUUGUCAAUAUUUAUAUUUUAGAAAACGUCAUUUCAUAAGAAAAACUAUCAUUUCAUUGUUUAUAAGUAUCAUAUUACAAAAUUUACAUUUUGUCAUAAAAAAUAAUCAAUAUUCAUUGUUAUGAGUAAUAAAAAUUCUUAAAAAUUAAAUUUUAUUUCGUCGAANNNNNNNNNNNNNNNNNNNNNNNNNNNNNNNNNNNNNNNNNNNNNNNNNNNNNNNNNNNNNNNNNNNNNNNNNNNNNNNNNNNNNNNNNNNNNNNNNNNNNNNNNNNNNNNNNNNNNNNNNNNNNNNNNNNNNNNNNNNNNNNNNNNNNNNNNNNNNNNNNNNNNNNNNNNNNNNNNNNNNNNNNNNNNNNNNNNNNNNNNNNNNNNNNNNNNNNNNNNNNNNNNNNNNNNNNNNNNNNNNNNNNNNNNNNNNNNNNNNNNNNNNNNNNNNNNNNNNNNNNNNNNNNNNNNNNNNNNNNNNNNNNNNNNNNNNNNNNNNNNNNNNNNNNNNNNNNNNNNNNNNNNNNNNNNNNNNNNNNNNNNNNNNNNNNNNNNNNNNNNNNNNNNNNNNNNNNNNNNNNNNNNNNNNNNNNNNNNNNNNNNNNNNNNNNNNNNNNNNNNNNNNNNNNNNNNNNNNNNNNNNNNNNNNNNNNNNNNNNNNNNNNNNNNNNNNNNNNNNNNNNNNNNNNNNNNNNNNNNNNNNNNNNNNNNNNNNNNNNNNNNNNNNNNNNNNNNNNNNNNNNNNNNNNNNNNNNNNNNNNNNNNNNNNNNNNNNNNNNNNNNNNNNNNNNNNNNNNNNNNNNNNNNNNNNNNNNNNNNNNNNNNNNNNNNNNNNNNNNNNNNNNNNNNNNNNNNNNNNNNNNNNNNNNNNNNNNNNNNNNNNNNNNNNNNNNNNNNNNNNNNNNNNNNNNNNNNNNNNNNNNNNNNNNNNNNNNNNNNNNNNNNNNNNNNNNNNNNNNNNNNNNNNNNNNNNNNNNNNNNNNNNNNNNNNNNNNNNNNNACAUAACAACAUCAUAAUCAAUAUCAUAAACAACAUCAUAUAAUCUUCAUAAGCACUUCAUUAACAACACGUGGAUAGAAGACAACUCAACAACUUAACAACUCAUGGAUGACAACUCAUCAACAACGACUUUGACUCGACAAUGCAACUUCGACUUCUUAAUCAUGCAUGUGGUACCAAUCCAGAGCAUCAAGCCCCCAACAUAUUGAGCAUACAUACACUCCCAGGGCAUCAAGCCGUCAACUUAAAGAGCAAAAGCUCACAUGGCAUCAAGUCCUCAACGUAUUGAGCAUAAAUACACUCCUAGGGCAUCAAGCCCUCAACUUAAAGAGCAAAAGCUCACAGGGCAUCAAGUCAUCAACGUAAAUGAGUAUGCAUGGAAUCAACAACUAAUGCAACGACAACCAACAACUUCAACGACUUCGACAACAACUUACAACUUCAACGACAUCGAUAACAACUUACAACUUUAACGACAUUGACAACAACUUACAACUUUAACAACUUGACCAACAUAUACAACUUAAUGAUUUAAUAAUAAAUACAACAGAGACAACAACAUACAACAACUUCACAACAUAGCAUAAUUAAUAAUAACAACUUAAAAGGUAUAACAACAUUAUUUUCUAUAACAUACAUUUUCCACAUAAAUAUAUGUAACUAAAAUUAUUCAACAACAACAUUCACAUAAUAUAUGUAUUUCAAAUUAUCCAACAAAGAUAUUCACGUCAAACUAAAUUAGAUCCAUCACAACAUAGGUUAAAUACUCUUAAACCCCUUAAUUAAACUCCCAGUACUUCUAGUUUUGAGGUUUGAAAUUAUUCCAUAAGUUUUGGAUUAACUUAGAAACGGUUAUGCUGAAUUUUCAUAAGAUUUCACUAAGAUCUCGUUGGAGUAUUUUCAUCAUAUCUCAAGAACCAAAAAUCAUCAUUUUCACGUCAAACCAAAGCCACUGGAAAGCUAACUCAAUUAUCUACAACUUUCAUGUUUACACCAAAGGCCAAUUCAAAACAGAAACGUGUGAAAAAGACGCAAGAACAUGAAACGGGAUGUGCUGUCAGAGAGCAACACGGGAAAAACCCACUUUUCACCUCAAAUUCCCAAUUUUAACUUCCCUAUGCACAAAUUUGAUCCAAAAACUUGUCUAACCAUUUCUAUACAUGUCAAGACACUCAAAAUCAUAUAAAACAUUGCACUAAAAAUAAUCCAUGAUCUGAACAUCAAUUCUACACAAAUUCAACGGAUUUUCUACUCUACCAACAAUCAAUUACAACUUCAAAACCUAAUUUCCAAAUUCCCAUAACUACAACCAACAACAUGCUAAACUCAAUUUCAGAAUUAUACAACUUAAAAUUAGAGAAAGUUAGUCCCACACUUAGCUUAAAUUAGAUGAUUGGACUCUACAAGAUUGCUCCUCUUAUCACAAGAUUCUUCUCUUCUCUGACUUCUCUCUUCUAUUAGUUUUCUCCAUUUUUCUCCAAAAACAGGUUUCACGUAAUCCUUAUUUUCUAAUUCUAACUCUCUCAUUUUAUAUAAAUCCUUAACCUACUUAUUUUCUCUUAUUUCCAAAUCUGCCCUCCAAAUCUCAAUAUUCUAUUAUAAUAUAUAUAUAUAUAUAUAUAUAUAUAUAUAUAUAUAUAUAAAAUAUAAAAUAUUUCUAUAAUGAAUAACAAAUAUAUCUCUAUAACAAAUAUAUUUCUACAACAAAUAACAAAUAUAUCUCUAUAACAUAUAUAUUUCUACAUCAAAUAAGAAAUAUAUUUCUACACGAGAUAACAUAUAUAUUUCUACACCAGAUAAUAUAUAUAUAUAUAUAUAUAUUUCUACACCAAAUAACAAAUAUAUUUCUACAAUAAAUAACAUAUAUAUUACACUAAUAAAUACCAACAUAUAACAUAACAAAAUAUCACUCAUCAAAAUAAAUCGACUAAAUUAUAAAAAGACAUCUAAACUCAAUAAAAUAAAUAAAUAAUAAAAUAGAGCGUUACAACAUCAAUUUUGUAUCCUAUUUUAUACUUGUAUUGGUAUAAAAAAUUCAAUUAUUUGAUUGGAUAAGUAUCAAUAAAAUUUAUAAAUAAAAUAGUAUAAAUUUAAGGAAAAAUAUGGCAGAAAAAAAGUUGGUAUCUUUUUUAUGUAUAAGUAAACACAUUUUUUUUAAAGGGCGUAAGUUUACAUGAGUUGGUAGAGACGAUACAUAAUAUAUGUAAGGUUCGGUGUUCAAACUCUGGCCACCACGAAUAAAAUUUAUAAAUAAAAUAGUAUAAAUUUAAGGAAAAAUAUGAAAGAAAAAAAGUUGGUAUCUCUUUUAUGUAUAAGUAAACACUUUUUUUUUUAAAGGGCGUGAACUUAACUCAGUUAGUAGGAACAAUGCAUAGUAUAUGUAAGGUUCGGUGUUCAGACCUUGAUCGGCCACCACCAAAAAAGAAAGAUACGUUGAUUGUUGUUGACUUCCAAUGUAGUUCCGACAACUCCACAGUAGUUGGCGGCGGUAGACCGAUGAUCCACAAAUGUCAACAGUGGGACUCUAACGUCCCAUGACGGUUGGGAAUGAGCUUUGAUAGCCCUUCACUAUGGUCGACCGCCUUAUAGCGCUAUUGGUGUUAUUUAUUUAUAAAUAGAUACUUUUAAAAAAUUUUAAAAAUAAUAAGAAUAAUAAUAAAAAUAAUUUGUUCUUUUAUUUAAUUUUGUUUUUUUGUGUUAAAUAUGGUGUCCCAAUAUAUGGGGUUGCCAACCAAAAACUACUCUCCUCUAGAAAUAAAAACCAAAAACAUCCUUGUUAUCACCCAUAUAAUUAAAAUCUCUCCUCUCAUUGCUCAUUCCUCCUCUCUGUCAAAAUAUUUAACGGACUCUAAGUCAAACAUAAUGAAUUUAUUUUAAAAAAGAUUUAUUUCUCUUACAAAAAUUCCUUAAAAAAAUGAGACAUGCUGUGUAUGUGUAGUCGAGAUCGAGUCUAUCUUUAACGUUAGCACUGGUAAUGGAAUUUUUCUAAUAUUUAGGAAUCACUAAAUAUUGUUUGGACAAUUAAUUUAAUUUUGGAAUGCAUUUAUUAUGGAAUUAUACCCAAAAUAGAAAAAAGAAACCCGCCUACUGCGUACAUAGUAUUGCUCAUUAACAAAACAACCCAAAAACCAGGAAACCAAACAUAAAAACCACAAACAUUUCUUCUCACUCCCAUUCUCAUCAGUCAUCAGUCUCAAGUAUCCCAAAACUAUGACCAUCAAAGCUCAUCCAUUAUUUUCAAUGGUUCUAGAGUCCACUCUACCCUGGAUAGCAUCACCACUACUCUUACUUAUGCUCUUUGCCGGCACCUUGGUCAUAGUAACAUGUUUCCGCCUUAUCCAAAAGUUCCAACACCAGAGUUUCCUCACUUCCAUCUCAUUGAACAAUGUGGAGUCCCAGUCCACAAUGGUGGAGGUCCCACACGUACACGCCUAUGGCUUGGAAAAGAGUGUUAUAAACACCAUUCCCUCGUUCAUCUACAAUACCACUAAACCUAUACAAGAUGAAUCUAAUCAUGAGUGCACCAUUUGCUUGGUUGAAUUUGAAAACAAUGAUUACAUUCGCACUCUCCCUCUUUGUUCCCACACUUUCCAUCUCGCUUGCAUUGAUGCUUGGCUUCAUAAACAACCUAAUUGUCCUCUAUGUCGCUCAUGUCUUCGUUGUGAUCAUUUUGAUAAGUCCCCUUUCAAACAUAUCAUGGCGGAUAGAAUCCACCCAUCCUUUCACGACCACAUGCCUUUCCAAAUCUCUCAUUCUCACUCUGUAAUUCAAUCAGUGGUGGAAAUCACACUCUGCUCCAACAAUGACGAUGAUAAUCACGGUGUAGGAGGCGGGGCACCGGUGUUUGGAGCAACAAUGCAGGUUCCCUAGGGAUGUCAAGCAUGAAGUCGUCACUUUUUUUUUCCAAUCAAGGAGGUUUUUUCCAGAGUCAGACUCGACCCAGUAGUAAAAUACACAGGUUUAAUGUUUAGUUGAGUUAUUAGUUAUUAUAUUAAGGUUGACGUUAGAUAAUUGAAAUAAGAGAAAUGCUAGCAACACACAUUCUAACAAAUAUUUUUCAACACACUCUCUUUGAUUGGUUAAAACUCACAUGUGAACCACCAAAUUUAUAUGGGACUUACAUGAUUUGGUAGGACCCAUGUGAAUUUUAACCAAUCAAAGAGAGUGUGUGUUAGAAUGAGUGUUGCUAGCAUUCUUAUUGAAAUAAUUAGAAAUAUGAUAUCAAUUAGUUUGCUGACUUUUCUAAUGCGUUAUAGGUUCAAUUCAUGUUUACUCUUAUUUUUGUGUAUCAACUCUGUUGAAUUUAAUGUUUGAUCAAAUAGGAAAACCAAAUUUAUUCAUCAUCUCUUCAUAUUAUCAACUUUAUGAAUGUUUCCCUAUAUUUCUUACCUGCAUACACAUUGCUACAAUUGGUUAAAAUUUUGGUAAAACACUAGGUUUUCCAGUGAUUUGAAUUUAAGCAUAUCACUAAUAUCAGUAUAACAUGCGUUGAAAUGUUGCUUGCACCUAUCAACUAUGGUUUUCUCUCUCUCUUUUCAAAAGUGCUACUAUUAGGAAUGGUUGUUUUCUUUUCCACUUCAAAGUUGUUAAACUAUUUGUUAGGAAGCAUUACCGGUACACCAAAAGAUAGCUUAGAAUGCAGUGCCAUUCCUCAUAGGAGAUGAAUGCAAUCAAAUGUCCAUAUAUGAUAUAUGAUAUGGCUUAAUUGGUCCAAACUAAAUAGCACGAACUUGAUAAUUUAUCAAGGUGAAGCGAGCCAUGCCAAUAGCAGAAUGUACAAGGGCACUAUAAUUUCUGUUAUUCAUAUUGAUCUUUAUAGGCCUAACUUUGCAUUGAUUUGAUGGAUAGAACAAAUUCUUUCAUAUCUAUGCACAUGACCAAAAAGAACCAAGUCAACCUGUUUCAUGUUUACAAUACAGGUUAGCUACAAAUACAAAGAUCAUCUUAUAGCUUCUACUAGUAAUAAGAGUUAUGCCAUGGUACUACUAAUUAGAGUUAAAGAUGGUUAUGCAUGGUAUCCUCUGUCCUACUUUAACCCAUGAAACUUUCAUUUAAACUUUUUAUUUUACAAUUUUAUCUCUCUUUUACAUGAUCAAAUGAUAGAAUUUGAUCAUAAUUUCAAAUUUGAAGCAUCGUUUAGAUUUAAGGAGUAUAAUAGUAUAUUAUAUUUGUUAAAAUUUUAGGGUCUAACUCAUCCUCACAAAAUUGGCUUGUAAGGUGAGGAUUGUCUCCUUUUUAUAUACUUUUUUCAAGAGUCUUAUCUAUCUGAUGUGAGACUUGGAUUUUUCCCAAUACAUCUCCCUCACGCCCAGCACUCACUCUCUGGGCUUGGUGUGUGAAUAGGUUUAGGCGGCCCUUGAAUUCGACAAGCUCUGAUACCAUGUUAAAAUUUUAGGGUCUAACUCAUCCUCACAAAACCAGCUUGUAAGGUGAUGAUUGCCUCCUCCUUAUAUACUUUUCUCAAGAGUCUUAUCUAUCCAAUGUGAGACUUGAAUUUUUUCCAAUAAUAUUUGAUUUGAUUCAAAUUUGAUGAAAUCUUAAUUUAAAUUUGAUUUUUUUUUAAGGAUAAUUCAAAUUUGAAUUAAAAAUACAGUAAUUCAGAUUCAUUUUAUCAUAAUUUAGAGACAACCAACUAUAUAGUCUUGUGCGAGAAAAUCAAACAGCUAGGUACAUGUGUACGUAUGGACGCUAGUAACAUAUAAUACACAUGAUAAUAAAUAUUAACCUUAAUAGCAGUUUUAGCUCUCUACCUUUUUUAAAGUUGUAAUUUUGACUCCCUAAGAAAAAAAAAUUAUAAAAUCGCCCCCUAAUUUUUGCACAUGUGGCAGUUUUGGCCCCUAAUGUCAAUUUUGACUCGGUCUACGCUGACGUGGCACCUUAAGUGAUGUCCCACGUGUUUUUUUUUGUGUCUUGGGGGCCAAAACUGCCAUAGUUGCAAAACUUAGAGGGCGAUUUUGUAGUUUGUUUUUCUUAGGGGCCAAAAUUACAACUUCGUGAAAGUUAGAGGGUGAAAACUACUAUUAAGCCUAAAUAUUAAACUUGACUUCAUAUGAAUUUAAUCAUAAUUUUAAUUUUGAAUCAAAUUUGAUCUAAUCUUAGUCAAACUUAAUAUACUCGUUAAAACAAUCUUAACGAAUCCUAAAUUAAUUUUGAAUUAAAAAUAUCUUUAUUAACUUUAAUUUUUGUCAUAAUAGAAAUCAGGGUUAAUGGUGCUUUACCCCCUGUAAUAUAGGUCAUUUUUUUAUUUUCCCCUCUAUAAUUUUUUUUUUUUGAUUUACCCCCCUUUAAAAAAAUAAAGUCGUUUUUUUAUGACCUAUUAGGGGGGUAUUCCAAAAAAAAAUAUUUUACAGGGGGUAAAUAAAUAAAAAUAUUUUACAGGGAAAAACCAAAAAUGACCUAUAUUACAGGGGUAAAACACCAUUAACCCUAGAAAUCAACUUGAUCAUCCAGAAGUCUUAAUUCAACUGGCAAAAUGCCGAAAUUGUUAGGCCGGAUGCCAUGACCAGGGUUCGAACCCCGGUACCUCCACUUGUGUGUGUGAGUUUAUAAUGACUUUGUCAUUUCGUCUAUCUACCAAAAAAAAAAAAAUCAACUAUGAUCUUCAUUCAAGAAAAGCUGAUAGUUACACCAUUUUCAAUUAAUCUCCAAUAUUCCAUUGAGCGAAGCAAGUUUUCCAUCAACAUUGUCCAAUGUUUGUAAAACCUAUUGAAUUUAUGGAUUGCAGGUUGCAUGAAAUUUAAGCUUUCAGCCAUAAUCGAGACACCAAAACAAGAAUCAAAGAGAAAGAUUACAAGAUGAAAUUGAAUUUCGUAAAAGAAAUUGAAACGAACGAAGAAUCUUGAAGUUGAAUAACGACGAAGUUGAACGCGUGCAAUGAUAUUACCAAACCAACUGACUUGUGUAACCAACUUUCCCACCAAAAAACUACGAUAUUGUUUUCUUCCAAGCAAACAAGACCCGAGUUUGGGCUCCAUAUACCAAUUGUAAAGUGGAAAUGUGAUUCUCAUUCAUUAUUGAUACUACAUGACCCUUAUAUAUAUAGCCAUAUUACACAUACAAGUGAUAGUUUCCACACUUGCUUACACUCCAAGUAAUCUCCUAAUUAUGACUAAUCAUUAGUCUAAUAACAGUGAACUUCAAAUAGGUUAACCAACACUGUAAAAUGACUAUUCUGAUCAUAAUUCACCCAAUUUUCGCAGAAAGCAGUUUGAGAAAAAACACAACUUGACGAUGCCAUAUCAAUGAUAAACAAAAUAAUUCAAAUCUUCUGAUAAAAAAGAAAACAGUUGUAUUUAAAUAUGAUAAACAAAAUAAACUGUAAUGAUAGAAUGAGUUGAAACUUGGUGUCACCCACACCAAACCUUAUUCGAUGCCAGAGUUUAGAAGUCAAGUUUAUCAUCACUUUACAUAGUUAACUAUGACAUCUUUGAAGGGGAUUGAUACCAGCCCCACUGCUCAUCAGAUAUGUACCUAGUAACUUGCUUCACACUCAAGUAAUUAUCAAGUCCCCUGAAUGGAAAACAACAAUAAAAAUUCAGACUCUAAUUCUCAGGUUUCAUAUUUAAUUUAUUUUGUAGAUUUUAGAAAACAAGGGUCAUACCAUUCUCCUAAUUCUCGACCAAAACCACUACGUUUAAUGCCUCCCCAUGGAGCUCGAACGAAACCUGUUUGAGCACAAUUGAUCCAUACAAUUCCAGAUUUAAGAACCUGCAGAAAACAAAUAUAAAGUUCAAACCAUUCAGUUAGUAAAAGUCGAAUAAUUUUGUUGUUUUUUUUUUAAAAUAUAUUGGAUUAGUCUCACCUUAGAUAAGCGCUCGCAUCUUUCUAAAUCAUUUGACAUCACAGCAGACCCCAAGCCAUAGCUGUGAAAUAUCAUGUUUGUGACUUUGAUAUCAAUCCACAAGUCAAGAUAAAAGUGGUUUAGAAAUGAAAUAAUGAUCAGUUCAUCAACUCACUGGGUGUCAUUGGCUAGGUCAAUAGCUUCUUCCUCGGUGCUAAAUGUUUUCACAGAGAGUACAGGUCCAAAAACCUCUUCUCUCCAAAUUUGCAUUGAAGUAGUCACAUCUGUUAUGAUGGUUGGUUCAACAAAGUAUCCCUUCUUUAAAUUCUGCCAUCGAAUUUGAAGACGUAUUAUUUCUCGUGCAAAAUGCAGAAAAACAGAACCGAACAUGCUCAAGAGUAUACUCAUACCUCUGGUCGACGCCCACCAGUUAAAAUUGUUGCACCCUCACUCUUAGCCGUUGAGAUAAAAUUCAAUACUUUCUUAUACUAAAUCAUAUAACACAGAUAUUAGAUAUUGUAUUGUCUUUUUUUUUUUUUUUUAAUUCAAAUAAUUCUGAAAUCAAUUUUAAUGUUUUUAAACUGCAAACCAGAUAGAAAACUAAAUCAUGUUUACUACAUAAAACUUUAAAUCACCACACAAUGCAUUCAACUUUGAUCAUAAUCACUAAUAUCUCACUACCGUAUGUUUACAUUUUGGACAAUGGAGAAAGUUUGAACAAACACAAGACAAAUACAGUAAGUCCAUGUUAGCAGUUGCCAGUUGAUUUUCCGGAGUACAUAUCAACUGCAUGUUUUAAGCAAACUAAAAGUCAUAGACUAAAACCCUCAUUUUGCAAGUAGAUAUGUCUUCAAUCGCGAAUAAUGUUAUAAACUAAAGCAGUUGAUUUCCCGGAUUACGUAUCAACCGCGAAUAAUGUCUUCAACCUAAAAUUAUGUCUAAAGCCAAAGAAGUGAUAAACAGCAAAGAGCAAACAUACCUGUGCUUCACUGACAAUAGGGCCUAGCCUGCAACCUUCUUCCAAGGGGUCUGAAAUUUUGAUGUUUUUGGCCCAUUUCACAAGUCUAUUCACAAAUUCUACAGCUAUACUUUCCUGAAAUCAUAAAAGUGUUGAUCAAUUUUUUAUCCAAAGCCAAUGGAAUCUCUAUGAGGUUUUCUGACAAAACUCUACCACAAUGUAAGGAAAUCUAACACUCUCAUUUAUGCUGAAAAAAUUAGAAAAGUGAGCUACAAAUUCAUAUUCAUGUGCAUGAACAUGUAUUAUUGAUGGAAUGGAGAAUUGUAGCGUGUCUGUUAAACUUACAUGCACAAUAAGGCGAGAUGUUGCACUGCAUAUCUGACCAUUUGUAUAGAAGCAGCCAUAGAUGGUCCAUUCAGCAACUGUUUAAUGAUGGAAAACAGAUCAAUAAAUCAUCAACCGUAUAUGGGAAAAUGUUUUCGAUCAUGCAAUAGGUUUUGGAUACCGAAAAUUUACUCGACUAUAAUGUAUAAUGGGAAAUGUGAUUCCACAGUGCAUGAAAUUAAAAUAUGGUCUGUCUAUAAAAUGUGAUGCCAAAAUGCAAACGAUAAGUGAUUCCACAAACUAUACAUAUUUGAGAAGGCACACCAACCCUUAUCAAGGUCAACAUCCUCAAAAACAAGUAUUGGGCUCUUUCCACCGAGCUCUAGAAAAACAGGCUGCAAACAAGAAAACACAAAUUCGAUAUUGUUGUGAAUUCGGUCACUUGUUCAAAAUCAACAAGACCACAUGUGAAACAAAUAACAAUGGCAAUAAUCUUGUUUAAAAAGAAUUUGUAGAUAUUCAUGCUUAAAAAUACCUUGAUUAGUUGUGCUGCAGCUGUCAUAAUCUUGCUCCCAGUUGCAGAGCUACCGGUAAAGGAAAUCUAUCAAAUAGCGGGCACAAUGGUACAAUAUUUUAGCAAACUUAAAAGAUGGAAAUAUAUCAACACUUGCAACAAUAUCUAGCUCCUUAUAGUUUUGAUUCCACUAAUGACUAAAAUAUUUUGAAGUUUCGAACCAUAUCUACAUCAGGAUGAGAUGCCAAAGAAGCGCCAGCUUCAUGGCCUAAUCCAGUGACAAUAUUUAAGACACCGGGAGGAAGGCCAACUUCUCUGCAUAUUUCACCUAACUCCAAACAAGUCCUAAAUUUGUAAACAAAAAGAAAACAUGAUAAAUCAACUUAACAAAUAAUCAAGUUUGUAAUAGUUGAUGAAAACAUACACAGAUGCCAAUUCAGACGGCUUCAAGAUUGCAGCACAACCAGCAGCCAGAGCUGGAGCAAUUUUCCUUGCCGCCAUUGAGAGAGGAUAGUUCCUAAAAUAUAAAAACAAUUACUGAAAAGGAAUUCAUAAGCAAAUAAGAUGAAGAAAAAACAGAUGUCAUACCAUGGAGUAAUUAAUGCAACAACACCAAUAGGCUCCUUGAGAACAUAGCUUUUGAAGGUAUUCAUAGGAAGAGAUAUAGGAGCUUUUUGCUUUGUAUCCAAUCCUUCAGCAAGUCCAGCAUAGUACUCAAAACAACCAAUAACACCGCCCUAGAUAAUCAUCAAACCACAACAGGUCCCAAGUAAGCAAAAAAUGCAACAUGUUUUUUCAAUGACAAAUAUUCAAAUGCUACUAAUUACCAUGUCCCCUAGUGCUUCAUCCAAUGGUUUUCCACAAUCAAUUGAUUCCAGUUUGCCUAGUUCAUUCUUUUUCUCAGUUACCUGUGAUAAAGGAAAAGAAAAAGGAUAACUAGUCAGGUCUCAAGACAAGCACAACUAGAUCAGUCAAAGAGUAAAUUUAAGUAGUCAUGUUAAGGAGUGAAUCACCAAUUUAGUCCUAAAAUUGUAGGCAUCCCAUAAUUUGGUCACAUAAAUAAACGAAAUUCUAAUAUGAUUUCAGAAAUUUAAAAUCAUCGAUCACAUGAGUCUUUUGGUUAGUCAAUAUAUAAUCGCUGAAAUUUUCUCGAAAGGGCUAAUGUGGUUAAGGAUUUUCAAUAUCAUAGAUUAUUUUGGAAUUUUAUAAAUUUCAAGACCUAGAAUCCACCAUAUAAUCAAUAUAUUUUCAACUUUCUUACCAAAAAAAUAUUAGUUUAUUUUUUGUAAAAUAUAACUUUCAUUUUCUUUUUCUUACAAUUUUUAGUGAAAUAGGUCACAUUUGUCUGGCUUUAUUUCUAUGUUCUCUCAAGACUUCAUCUUCACAUUAUGUUGGGCAGGCCAUGUCAAAAGGUAAAAUAAAGUUAAAUUAUUUUUAUAUAAGUUAUAAGUUGUUUUCAUUAAGUAUGUUGGAAGAUUUACGAUCUUCAUAAGUUUUAGAAAUAGUCUCAUAAGUGAUUAUACUAGUAGAUAAGUUCAAGUCAAUUCAAACAAACCAUAAAUUGGUUUUACACUUAAAAAUAGAAUAAAGUUUAUUAGUCCCUUCAAUCCAGCAAGAAAUUAGAACCUUUGCAGCAAUUGCUCGAAGAUAGCCAGCACGAACAGAACCAGAAGCAGUACACCAAUCUCUACCUUUGUUUCUGGAAAUGGCUCUUUUAGCAGCAUCCACAGCAAGGUCAACAUCUUCCUUAGUAGCAGCAGGUAUAUCCCCUGCAUGUGUGUCAACCAUUCACACAAUGCCACAACAUAGAAGUAGUUAUUAUCAUAUCAUACUUUGAUAAAAAAACAGAAACAUUAAAAAUGAGAGGGACUAAACAAAGUACCUAUGAUGUUUUCAUUGGAGGGAUUGAUUAUUGGAAUCCUUUUGUUGAGUAUAGGAGCUUUCCACUCUCCAUCUAUGAAUAAUUGUCUACUUGCUACUGCUAUUGCCAUAUUUUCCUCUCUGUCACGCACUGUUAGCUUGUGUAUAUGUUUCUUCUCUUUUUCAAGGAUUGGAUCAACAAUGGUCCAUGCUAUAAUCAUAAUAUUAAAUAGAUGAUUUCUAAUUUUCUAUAUGGCUCGGCACACAAAAUAUUGCACGACACGUGAUUUUGUAUGUUAAUAUAAUGGGUGUUAGCUUAUAAUCAUUUUUUUAAGGAAAAUGCUCUUUGUUCCACAAAGUUGUUAACAACCGCAUCACAACAGUGUAAAGUAAGCGCAUCAUAAAUAAUUAAAUUUGUGUCCUAUAUCCAUCCAUCCAUGUAUUGCACUAAGGGAAUGCUAACAAAUGGCCCUAGAGUAUUUGAUAAGAAAUUUAAAGUAUAAAUUUCUUUUUUGGAUUUGUAUAUUCAUCACAUUCAAUCAUCAAAAAACAACGUUUUUUAAAUGAAAGUUAUCAAUUGUUUCCAUUUUUUUAUCUUUAACAUCAAAGAACACUUUUCUUACAUGAAAGUUAUCACUUGUUAACAAGACAUAUAUCUAAGUUAUUCGUGAUACAUUCGGGACAAAUUGCUUCGCUCCAAAUAGCACAACUAUUUUUUUUUUAGGAAAACGCUACUGAUGACACUCUAUCAUCUCUCUUUUUUUUAGUCAUUUUUUAUGUAUUUUUAAUAUGAAACUCAUUGUGAUCUUGGGAGCUAAAAGACAAAAAGAACAUAAAAUUGGAAAUCUCAAGAAGCACAAAUCAGGCGCCGAUUUCAUACAAAUCGGGCACCGAUUUCAAGGCCAUGACGACCAUUUUGUUUCAACAAUUUUAAGCCGCCAAUUUUCACAAAUUGGGCGCCGAUUUCCCAGGAGUGGGGAACACAUUUUUUUAUUUAUUGAGAUUUCGGUGGCCGAUUUUACACCUUUGAUGGCCGAUUUUACAUGUGGCUAUACAAGGAACACGAAUUUUCUGAAGGUCAAAAUUUUAGAGAGAAAAGGCAUAUUUUGGAGCUGAAGCACUAAAGAUCUGGUGGGCGACCAUCAAAACUCAUAGUCAGUUAUUCAAUACAUGUAUGAAUCUUUACUUUUGCAUUAGUUAUCUUGUACUUUAGCUAUGAGUAACUAAUCUCCUUGUAGUUGAGACUUAGUGAAUCUGAUGUAACUCUAUGGAAACCUAAUUUGUAUGAACUCUCUUGAAUAUUAAUGAAAGACUAGUUUAAUUCAUAUUACCUUGUGUUUAAUGUUGUUUUAUGUUUAUUAUUGACUACUAGCACUAGCAUCGUGAAUGUGCAAAUUGAUCUUAAAACUUGAAUGACCACUAGCCUUGGCUUUUGACUCUGAUCUAGGUAAUAGGUUUAACCUAAGUAAUUAAGUUAGAGAUAGAAAAUUAUUAGGCUAUGACUCAUGGAUUAACGGACUGUUAAAACCUCCAAGAGUCUUGAAUUCACUUAAGAGAUUAAGGGAUUGUCACUCGCGGAGAGAGUUCUAGGUCAAGAGAUUGAGUAGAAUUAUCUUGUUAAUUUGUCGUUAAAUUAUAUGAACAUUGAUUGAAUUGGGGUGCAAAUUACCGUAGAAGAACAUUAGAGGAUUUGAAGAUCUUAACCAUAUUUUUCUCAUUAAUUUCUAAAACCAACUUUUACCGUCUUUACACAGUUUAUGUUACAAAUACCAACUCGACUGCCUAGGGCAACCUAAAAUUUAAUACAUCCUUUUUAUAAUGAAAUUGCUAAGUAGAAGUUAACAACGGUCCUCGUUCCCAAAAAAAACAACGGUCCUCGUGGAUACGAUCUUUAAUAUUACUUCGAUUAUUUUGGUACACUUGCCUAAAUCCUAUCAGCUACUUUACUUACAGCGAAAAAGUUAUAGCACCCAUGAUUUCAAUGCAGCGGACAAUCCAACGGCUGGAAAUAAUUCAUGAAAAAUUUGGGAUGUCUUUUCUCCGGGACAAAUAGCAUAGCUCAUUUUUGUAACAUCAAGAGAAAGGUGACGCCGGUAUCAUCUUAGGCUUAUGUUUUGCAAGCCUGCAACAUAUAUACAUUCACCUUUGACAAUGGCAACUCACAAGUGAUAGCCAUGAUUCGAGUUUUUAGGAGAGAGGAGAGAUUAUCUUUUUAAAAUUUUAUUGCUCUGUCAAAUUUUUUUUUAAAUUAAUUUAAAAUCUCAAUAUUAUCUAGUAACAACAUUUAUUAUUAUUAGGUUAUAUUAUCUUUGUAACAACUUUUAUUAUUAUUAGGUUAUAUUAUCUUGUAACAACUUUUAUUAUUAAUAGGUUAUAUUAUCCUUCUAAUAACUUUUGUUAUUGUUGUUAUUAGGUUAUCCAUCACUCUUAUUUGUUAUUUCCCAUAAAAUCCACUCUUCCAAUCCUACUGCUUCUUUGAUGCCGCCAACCGUUACUUGAAACUUCCUCUAGCGUGAACCGUGAGUAAUCCAUUAUUUUAUCGUCUACGUUGUGUUAUUAUCGAUUACAUCGUUAUUGUUUCAUUACUUUAUUCUUCUUAUUUGUGUUAUUUACCCGUAUUUGAGGGGAGAUGAGUGUAUUUUCCCUUAAAAACUAAAAAGUCCCCCGUUCAUUUAUAAAGGGUAGGUUGUUUUCUUUUUUGAUAAGAAAAAGGGUAGGUUCUUCAAAAUCUAAACCAACAAACUCACGGAAAAUAUAUAGUCCUUCCUUUCUCUUUCUCAAUAACACAAAUUAAAUAGCAUAUAUAUCGAUCUUUUCCCUGUUUUAGCUUCUUUCCUCCCAUUACACCAUAGCUCCAACUCAGCCGCACAUGCAUCACACUCACGCCCCCAUCUUCAUUAGUGAUGAGUCCUUUCUAUUAUUUUGCCAUGGUCCUCAUAGCAUCGGUUGUGUUGUAUUUCCUCAUCUUUUAUUUUGACGGGCAGGCGCACGUCGUGGCUGGGCAGACGCACGUCGUCCACAACUUAGACAAGACGAUUAUAAACACCAUCCUCGUUUCCAUCUACACGGCUCAGUAUGCACAAGAAGAAUCUACGUGUGAAUGUAUCAUUUGUUUAGAUGAAUUUGAAGACAAUGAUCGCCUUGGUACCCUCUCUAUUUGUUAUCACACAUUUCAUCUCGAUUGUAUUGAGGUUUGGCUUCGUAAAAACCCCAAUUGUCCUCUGUGUCGCUCUAACUGUUCUCUCAAUCUCUCUAUGAUUAUAGAUGUGACACAGAGGUCACUCUCCACUCCCCAGUAACUUAGAAAAGGUGUAAGGAUUUAGUUAUGUUAUAAGUUAUUAAUGCUUCAUAGGUAGUCUAGUUUCUCCUUAAAAAAAAAAGUAGUCUAUUUAUACUUUUUCAUUUUUUUUUUUUUUGUAUCUUUCAGUUCUGUUGAAUUUUUUUAUGUUUAUAUCAAAUAGGAUCAAUUACAAAUUUAUUGGACAAUAUUUUGGGUUUACCCGACAUCUCUUUCUAUUAUCGACAUCUCCUACUAUUAACAACUUCAUGUUGGAACAUUGGUGGGAAAAUAAAGAGUGAACAACUUUUUCAGACCAUUAUAAUACCUUUAAACAAAUUUUUUUAUAAUAUUAUAUUGUUGAUGUUAUUAAAAAAGAUAAGAAUUUUUAAUAUAUUUGUUAUAUAUUAUUAUUAUUAUUGUCAUUAAAAAAGAUAAAUAUGGUUUGUUGAAUUUGUUACAUUUGAAAAUUACAAAUAUCUAUAUUUAUAUUUAUAGUUUUAAUAUAUAUAUAUAUAUAUAUAUAUAUAUAAUAGUGUAAUCUAUACUAUAUAUAAAGGAAAAGGAGAAAACUUAGGUACAAUUCCUUAUGUGCUUUUCGUAUGGUUCUUAACUAAAAAUACUUUUUUUUUUUGGAGAGAAAUGAUAUUUGUACAACUAUUUUUGUACAACUUUCUCUCUCAUACUCACAUUAUCUUCUUAUUCUCUCUCUUCCUUUUUCUCUCUCUAUUGUUUUUUACCAAUGAAAAGAGAGCACAACAAGAUUGUCCCAAAAGUUGUAGCAAACAAGUUGUUCAAAUAUCAUUACUCUUUUUUGGAUAUAACAAACUUUGAGAAAAUUAUGGAUUUGAGAAAAUCAUGGUGAAUUUAGUUAAAAACCAUACGAAAAACACAUAAGAAAUUGUACCUAAGUUUUCUCCUAAAGGAAACUAUCCCUUUCAGCACACUUUUGGGUUGGACUUUUCUUUCCAAAAAUACCCUUGAUUUUAAAUUUUAAUUUUAAAUACAAAUAACACAUGUGACAAAUAUAUAACAAUAAAUUUAAUUUAAGGAGAAAACUUACACACAGUUCCUUAUGAACUGUUCUUACUGUUAGCCAAUUAUAAAAUAACACAUGGAUUACUAAUCCAUGUCACUAAUCGUCCCCAUUAACCAUCUUUUACCUCCGUAACCACAGAUCAAACUCACAAAAAACUAGCACAAAACAAAAACUCAUGUUACUUUUUUAUCAGCCGUUUUUAUGUUGUACAUAUGUGUUUCCCUAAAAAAAAAAUGUUGUAGUGUUGUUCCCCUCAAUACUGCCGACAAAGAUUGUCAAAUAUUUUCAUACCCCUUAAACAAAAAACAGUAUUUAGAUAUUAUUUUAUUAAUAUUAUUAUUUUAUUUUAUUAAUAUAAGUUAUUUUCCUUUAGCCUUUGAUCAAUUGUAACAAACAUAAGCAAAAAAUAAUGGUAAAAAUUGGAAUUUAAAUCCUCUAAAAAAAAUUAGUAACAAACAAGAGCAAAAAAUAAUGUUAAAGACUGGACUUUAAAUCCUCUAAAAAAAAGACUAGUAACAAACGUGAGCAAAAAAUAUUUUUCAAGAUUGGACUUUAAAUCCUCUAAAAAAAGAUUAGUAACAAACAUGAGCAAAAAAUAAUGUUAAAGAUUGAACUUUAAAUCCUCUACAAAAAAUAUUAGUAACAAAAGUGAGCAAAAAAUAAUGUUAAAGAUUGGACUUUAAAUCCUCUAAAAAAGGAUUAGUAACAAACUUAAGCAAAUAAUAACGUUAAAGAUUGAACUUUAGAUACUCUAAAAAAAGAUUAGUAACAAACGUGAGCAAAAAAUAAUGUUGAAGAUUGAACUUUAAAUACUCUAAAAAAAGAUUAGCGACAAACGUGAGCAAAAAAUAAUGUUAAAGAUUGGACUUUAAAUCUUAAAAAAAAAAAAAAAACAUUAGUAACAAACGUGAGCCAUAAUUACACCUACAAAUGAUGAUGUUCAAAAAUUGAAUGACAUAAUUAUCAAUCAGUUUCCAGGAGAAGAACAUAAUUUGUUGUUAUUUGACGAGGUUGAAGGGAUACUCAUAACUUAUAUCAACAGGAACUCUUAAACUCAAUUGCUCAAGGAAGUAUCCCACCACAUAUUUUAAAGGUAAAAAAAGGUGCACCUUUGAUGUUAUUGCCAAACAUAGAUCCUAGAUAUGUCCUGUGUAAUGGGACACGAUUGUUAUGUCGUGGUUUAUUUAAGAAUAUGUUGGAUGUGGAAAUCAUAACAGGAAGCAAUGCAUGAAAAAGAGCAUUCUUGUCCAGAAUUAAAUUAAAAACAAAUGCGAGUUCAGGACUUCCCUUUGUGCUUAGUAGAAAACAGUUUCCCGUUAGACUAAGUUUUGCUAUUACCAUAAAUAAGUCACAAGGGCAUACCAUUCCUAAUGUCGGAGUCUAUCUUCCCCGACAUGUUUUCAGCCAUGAUCAAUUAUAUGUAGCUUUAUCAAGAGGAGUUUCUCAAAGUUCAACAAAAGUUCUCAUUAAAGGAGGGAAAAUAGAAGGAGAAGAUGGAGACUUUACAAAAAAUUUGGUUUUUAAAGAUAUUCUUUUAUUGCAAUCAUAACAAUGUUUCUUUUACAUAACAUGUCAUUUAUACAUUUAUGUUAUGAUGUUACUAAUUACUAUUAGAAUAAACAAUAAAAGAUCAUUAUUUUAUCUUUAUUUUAUAUAUAGGCAAACUAUAAUAUGUUGAGUUCAUAAAUAAUCACAUGCGUUAGCGCAGUAAAAAGAGCGGACAUAUGGGCAUGUGAGUGCCCGUCUUUCUGCUAGUAUAAAGAACGAAAAGAUGGGCAUGUGAGUGCCCGUCUUUUCGCCAGAGAGAAUUGUGGAAAUUCUACGAUGCAAUAUCAACAGCAACUAAUAGUGGUUUUUAUUUUUGGUAUUCGGAAAAGAAAAAAAAUAGGCUUAUUAGAUCGUUUGGUCCCUUAUUUAAUUUCAUGUUUUCAUUUUGAUCCCACAAUUAAUAAAAAUGGUGUUUUAGUCCUUCACCUUUUCCUCUGUUUGUCAAAUAGACGGUUAAGUUUAGCCCAAAUGAUGUUUAUGGUGGACCAACCUUAAGAGUGGUCCACCAUAGAUCCUAUUAAUUAUUUUAAUUUUAACUUUUUGAUUUUUUUUUUAAAAAGAGAACCAUUGGAUUAGGCAAGUCUAUUUUAUCUUACGAUGUACCACCAACACCUAAUUUUUUUCCUUUUCUUCAUCUUCUAUAUUUUCAUCUUCAUCAAUCAUAUUCAUAUUCAUAAGUUCAUACAAACAAACCCAGAAAAAUAAUGGGUAAAAAAAACCCAGAAAAAAAAAAUUAUCAUCAUCAACACUCUAAUCAUCUUUUCUCUCUAAAAAAAAAUAGUUGUGAACAACAUCAACAACAACACAGUUUCAGCAAUCACAGUUUCACAAUCACAGUCUCAAGUUCACAAUCACAGUUUUACAGUCACAGUUUCACAAUCACAGUUUUAACAAAAAUCCAUUUUCCCUUUCAACAUUCUCAGCAUCUUCAUCGCUGACAAGAGAAGACGAAAAAGUGUUUAAAGAGGGGGAAAACGUCGGCGUUACCGGAGUGUGAAGAGAAGAUUCGACAUCGGCGUUGCCUUCAUCGUCGUCUCUCUUCCGUUUCUCAGUGGUUGCUCCUGCGUUUGGGUUUAUGAAGAGAAGAGGUGUUUAGAUAUGUCGAAGAAAUUGGGAGGGGAGAGUGGUGAAGGUGUCGGUUGUGGCUGUUGGAUCGGUGUGGGAUUGGGUUGUUAGGUGGGAAUCGAGGCUGAUUAUUGGUGUUGCGGUGGUUGUGGUGAUCUUGAAUAUCAGAGUCGUCAGUGUAAGGAGGAUUAAGGUGGUGGUUGACGGCAUGCUGACGGUGGUGAUCGAAGUGGUGGUGGUGUUGUUUAUGAGAAGAAGAUUUGUCUGGGUUUAUGAAGAAGGAAUCAUAUCACGUUGGAGAAGAAAAGAAAGAAAGUUGGAUUUUUAAUUUGGCUUUAGGGGUAUUCAAGGUAUUUCACAUUUUUAGCAUUAGUUUAUAAAGAUCAAGAACAAUAAAGUGAAGAUCUAACAGUCCAUUUUAUGAUAAAUAGAUCGAAUGGUUAAAAUUAACAAAAUUAAUAAGGUCUACGAUGGACCACUUUUAAAAUUGGUCCAACAUAGACAUUUGAAGUUAAGUUAACAGUAAGGAUUUAUUUGGCAAACAGAGGAAAAGGUGAGGGACUAAAACGCCAUUUUUAUUAAUUGUGAGACCAAAAUGAAAACAUGAAAUUAAAAAAGGGGGGACCAAACGAUCUAAUAAGCCAAAAAAAUAUUACUAAUAAUAUAUGUCUGUAUCUUUUGGCCCAUAACAUGUCAUUUUUCUCACUAACUAAUUGAGUCGGUUCUACAAAACACUCGUUAGUCCCUACCUAUCCAUUUAACUGGACGGUUUUAAAAAUCUUGUAAUUCGAUUUUUGACUUAAACGUAUCCAUGCUUGAGCCUUCCUCCUUCCAAUCCUCAAGUCGGUUGUUGAGUCUAUUUAUCUAUAUCCAGGGGACUUUGAACAAUUUUAUUGAGUUAUCAGAAAUUCUUUCUCUUUUUUAGCUAGAGGAAUUCUCCAUUUCUUGUAUGUCCCUUUAGUUCUUGUAUGUCUCCACUUCAUUCGAGUGGUCAUAUAUAUUAUCAUAUUAUUAAAGUUGUAUUUCUAGAUAUUGAUCAUACAUUAUAGUUGGACUCAAAAAUUGUUGUAAUUGGGUUGUUUUAUACCGCUAAUGUAAUGGUUGAUAAAACAUCUUAAAGGAAGCGACCCGCGACUCACUCACUCAGUAACAAAUUUGAUGGCUGAAAAUUCUUUUUCAUAAUGAAAUUUAGAAUUCCAACAUACCAACAAUUCAUGUGUUUUUUUUAAUAUUUUUUUCGUCAAGAAGUCUUAGGAUGUAUGUGGAUAAUUGAGGUUUCAACCAACCGAAUUAUGUUUAUGGGACUAACUCAAAUACUUGUCAUAACCCCAAAUAAUAUUCAUUUAGCAACACACUCAUAAAAUAUGUAUAAUUUAAUUAUUUAAAAAAUAUAUUAUUUAAUUUUCUUUUCUUUUUUACAUACUUUUUUUAUUUAUUAUGUAUGUGUGAGUUUUUAAAUAAAGUUUGUUUAGGCUUGUGAGCAAGCAAGUGUAACUUCCUUAGGAUCAGUACCAAUACAAAAUGUAUACAACUAUUUUAAAAAUCACCAAGAAGAAACUGAAACUAAAAUGUAUAGCAACUUUUGUGGAAAAGGGUGCUAGUUGAUAAGUAUAGGUGUGUAGUGGUGGGAGAUUAGGGUCGGUGGUAGGAUAGGUGUUAGUUGGUAAUGGUAUGAAUACUAGUUUUAGGAGGGAUAUUUGGGUCGGAAAUUCAUUGCUUUGCGAUUCAUUCCCUUGCCUCUUCUCUAUUUCCAAGCAAAAAGAGGAUGGUGUUUUUUCUGUUAGAUCAUCCUAUUAGAGGAGGGGAUUCUCCUUGAUGGUGAUUUGGGUAGGGUGGAGAAAUGGGUGUUUGAGUACCUUUGGAAGAGUGUCACCUUUUUUGGACCCUUCUCCUUGAUUGAAUUCCAAUGAGGGAUAACUUUCCAAUUCGGAAUGUCUUACAUCCGGGAAGUGAAAUAAAAUCAAACCAAGUUCAAAAAAUGCCUUUUAGCAUGCAUGCUUAAUUCUUCUACUAAAUUUUAACGUUCAAACCUCAAUUAAGAUUAUUACAUUUUUUUAUUCUUGUAGCUUUCUUCAACUGGAUUUUUUUAUUCUUAGGUUUUCUUUCACUGGAUUUUUUUUUUUGAGGGAAGAUUUUAUUUUUUAUUUUUGUAGGUUUUCUUCCACUCGAUAAUUAUAUUUGAGGUGUAUUGAACAUUAAAUAUAUCACCUCUCUAAAACGAUAUUUGAAUAUUGGUUCACUAUAUUAUUGAAGUUUACUAAACUUUUCGUUAGUUAUUAAAUUUUAUAUGAAUUCUUUUUAACCGAUAGAUAAUUUGAUCAUAUCAAUUUGGAGAUUUGAUGACAAUAUUUCUAUACAAAAACUUGCUGAUUAUUAGUUUUGUAUAUUUUAAAUAUAAUUAUUUAUUUGAAAAAAAUAUAGAACACCAAAUCUAACAAAAUCAAAUUUUCUAUAUUAAAUGUAGUAAUAAAUUUAUAUUCAUAUUUAUUUUUUAUAAGUCUGCCAGAAUCAAAUUGUUUGUAUAAAAUAAAAUAAAAAAUUGUUCUUCACAGAAUAUCUAAAGAAAGUGUGACAUAUAUAAUUGAUCAAAUCAAAUUUUGUAUUUGAUCGGAUCUCGUUGAGUAUUUAUUAACAGCUCAAAUCUUUUAUAAGAUUGAAUCCAAAAAUCUUACAGUCCCCGUUCCUAUAAAAAAAAAAGGGUUGGUUCUUUUCUUUUUUGACACAAAUUAUAGUCUCCUUUCUCUCUCAGUAACACAAACUACGUUGCACACAUAAUGCGAUCCUUUCCCUAUUCUUCUUCCCCUCCCAUGACAACCACAGCUCCAACUCAGCCGCACAUGCAUCACUAUCACCAUCACCAUCACUCCCUAUUUUCUUCACACUUCUUCCCCAUCAUAAUAUUGGUUCUGCUGUUUCUCGUACUACUUAUCCACUGGAUUCUAACUAGCCUUCAAACAAUGCUGAUAAGGCACGAAGAUACGAAUACCUCACGUCACUAUUCUAACGACCAAUUGCAAACACAUGUCGUCCACAACUUAGACGAGUUGGUCAGAAACACCAUCCCCUUCUCUGUCUACACUGCUAAGUAUGCAAACGAAGAAUCUCUACGUGAUUGUGUUAUUUGCUUGGAUGAGUUUGAAGACAAUAAUGACAUUGGUACACUCCCUCUUUGUUCCCACAGCUUCCAUCUCGAAUGCAUUGAAGCUUGGCUUCGUAAAAAACCUAAUUGUCCUCUAUGUCGCUCCAGUUGUCAUCUCAAUCACUCUAUAAUUAUAGAUGUGCCGGAGAGAUCACUCCUCACUCCCCGGUAACUUUGGAAAAGGUUUAUAGUUUAGUUGUGUAGUAGUUCAGUUUAUGCUUUUUCAUGUAUUUUCUGUUUUUUGUUCUACUGAAUUUUGUAUGUUUUAAAUCAAAUAGGAUACCAAUUUAUUUGGGCACUUUAUGUUAUCAACUUCAUGAAUGUUUUUAUGUAUAUUUCUCUAUUUGCAUGCACCUUAGGAAUGGUACUGGUAUUAUCUAUUUGCAAUUUCUAACAUAGCAUUAGUACUAGUACAAGAAAUUUCGUUCAUAAAUUGUAUGACAUUGAAGUACACAUUAAUUACCCCAAAAAGAUAACAAAACAUAGCUUACAAUGAAGCGACAUGCUUGAGAGCCAGAUGAGAAUAAUGCAAUCAAAUGUCCAUAUUACCGAUUACCAUAUACUUUUGUUUUCUAUUGUUGAAAUUUGUUGUAGAUAUAUAUGAUAUGGCUUAAUUAUAUAUAUUGGUACAAAUAACGACGUAGCAUGAAGAAGCUAUAAGAUGAACCGGAGUAAAAGAACGCAUAAUUGAGAGUAUAUAUGAAAACAAUAUGGAAAAGUUAGGUGAAAUUCUAUGGGAACUUCUACGGUACACCUCACAAAUUGAGGUGUAUCGGUACUCUUGAUUCAUAAAUUUAUAAAUUAACAAUCAUUUAUAUUAAAUAAAGAGCUAUUUGUCAAUAUUUAAAUUUUAGGAAAUAUCAUGUCAUAAAAAAAAAAAAAAAAAAAACAUCAUUUCAUUGUUUAUAAGAAUCAUAUUAAAUUUUUAACAUUUUUUCAUAAAAAAUAAUCAAUAAUCUUUGUCACGAGUAGUAAAAAUUUAGAAAAAUUAAAUUUUAUUUCAUUGACACUUUUGGAAAAUAAGAUUUAAUUAUUAUAAUUGUUAAUGAUAAAAAAUAGUUCUUUUUCUUAAAAAAAAAAAAAAAAAACAACUCAUUUAAUUAUUAAUUUAAAAAUUUAGUGUACCGGUACACUUAAAUUGUUGGAUGUACCGUAGAAUUUGCCAAAUUCUAUAGCAAAUAUCUUCAUUAUCUGCGGCAUACAAGCCUAGAAUAUAAGGAAAAUGUAUCCCCAGUUUAAAGGACUAAUGAAUUUUAUUCUAUUUUCUUAAAUUGUAAGAAUAUAAUUGAAUAACCAAUUUAGUAUUUGAAAUUGUAGCUUAGACAAUUUGGUCUUGAAAUUAGUAACAUUCCAAAAUAAGCCAUGAAAUUCAAAACCCUAGAACACAUUAGUCAAUUCAAGACAAUUUCAAUAACUACAAUGACUAAUAAAAAGACUCAUGUGACCGAUGAUUCUUAGUUCCUGAUAUCAAUUAAGAAUUUUAUUGAUUUAAGGGACAAAAUUAUGGGAUGUUUAAAGAUUUUUGGACUAAAAUAUUGUUAGUUGUUCAUGUCUCGAGACCUAAGUAGUUGUCCUAAAGCGGGGCUUUUCCAAAGGUACUCAAACACCUUUCUUCCAACAUCCUUUUGGUUACCCUCCACCACAAACCUCUCUUUUAAUUUAUGAACAAUGAUAUUUGAAGAACCAUUUGUUAACAACUUUUAUGACAACCUCAUUUCUCUCUCUUUUUAUUGGUCAAAAACAAUGGAGAGAGAAAAAUGAAAAAAGAGAGUAAGAAUAUAAUAUGAGUAUGAGAGAGAAAGUUGUCUAAAAAUUGUCACAAAAUGGUUGUACAAAUAUCAUUUCUCUUUAAUUUAAAAGAAAAUAUACGGAGUUAACCUUAAAAUUACCACUCUCCCUCAGACACCACACCACAACCACUUAUCCGCCUCAUACCUUCCAACAAAAGAUUUCGGGGCCUCCCGUAAAUCUUCAGAGAGUUUCCUCCCAAGCAAAAAAUAAAAAAUAAAAACCCUCUCCUCAAGGACCAAGUCCACCUACAAAUAACUCAUUCUCUUACUCACAUCCUCCACCUUUGCAUCCUUGUCUGUCGCUAGAGAGAAUAGACGAGGGUACUACUUGCACAACGGUGAAUUUUCGAACCAACACUCCCUCCAAAAACUAGUCCUCCUUCCAUAUCCCACCUUUAAAUAAGAGUUGUGUUAUUUGAACAUCCAUUUAGAUGACAACUUUUGUGACAACCAAAAUUUUACAAAGAAAAUGAUGUAUUGGCACAAAAAUCAAAGCAAUAGAGAAAGAAAGUAAAAACAUAAUGUGAGUGUGAGAGAGAAAGUUGUCACAAAAGUUGUUGUUCAAAUAUCAUUUCUUUUUAAAUAAAUCUCAGAUUUGAACCAAUCUACCACCUCCCAAACAUGUAAACUAGCAACAUCUUUACACCAGUUGAUGAAAAAUACAGCCAAGAAUCAUACCCAAAAACCCUGUUUCUCAAAAUUCCUUUGUCGUACUUUGCAAUCAGCACCUCCUUCCAUAACAGUUGAUCACAUCGAAGGAGAUGCCAUUUCAACUUUGCUAAUGUUUACCAUUCUAACAUCCUUAACUCCCAUUCUCCCUUUAGCUUUUGGCUGACAAAUUUUCCUCCACUUAACUCAAGCCAAUUUGUUCCCAUUCCCAACUCCACCCCAAAGAAAGUCUCUUUGGAUCCUCACCACUUUCUUAUAAACUCCAACCGACAUUUUCAUGAAUGAAAAGAUAGAAAAUAGGGAUUUAAUUAAGCAUCAUGUUAAUUAAGACAAUCUUACCCCUAAGACUCACAUGCUUAUUUCUUAAGAAUUCAACCUUUUUGAUUUGACAAUUUUUCCAACAUAGGUUCCCAAGUGGCAAGAUUCUUAGGAAUGGUACCGUACCUACGGGUAACCCCAAAUACACAACCAGGUUCUUCCUUACACUACAUUUCGAGAAAUUGCAAGCCAUAAUCAAAACUAUUGUUCAACAUUAACACUGAUCAAACAACUUUUUUAAAAUUCACCUUCAACCCCGAAGCUAUCCCAAAACCACGCUAGAUGACUUUCAAGGUCCAAAAGUUUUCCACGGUUGGUUUUCAUCAAUCCAUCAAACCCCUUGGUCACCAUAAGGAACAAGAAAGGUGCAACGGAUCCCCUUGUUUUAGCCCCCUUUGGAUAUAUAUUUGCUCUCAAAACCCCUCAGCCACCAUAAGGAACAAGAAAGGUGCAAGGGGUCCCCUUAUAUUAGCCCCCUUUGGAUACAAAUUUGCUUUGUUUGACUCUCAUUCGUAAGAAUUGACAUAUCUCCACCAAAGAUGUAAGCUUUCGUCCAACUAAUCCAUUUCGCAUCAAAACCAAACCUUUGUAACAUAUAGUCUAAAACCCCCCAAUCCAUUGAGUUACAAACCUUUUCAAAAUUCACCUUCAAACACCACACAACUCCUCCUAGUUUUCCUUGCCAAGUCCAACACCUCAUUUACCACAACAACAUGACCAACUAAAUUGUGUCCCUAAAGGAACACCAAUUGAGCCAAUGAAAUGAAUGAGUGUAUUCAAAAUUUUAUAGCAAGUCUAACCAUCAACACCUUCGCCAACAAUUUGUACAAGCAAACCAAAAGUAAGAUAAGUUGAAGGUCCAAAAUGGCAAACGGGGACCUUAUAUUGGGAAUAAGAGUAAUAAAGUAAGACAAAAAGUAAUUGGAGAUACAUUCAUUUCCAUGAAAUUGAUCAAACAAAAUGUGAACCUCCUCCUUCAACAAGUACAAAAAUUCCUUCAAAAACACAAAAUUAUGUCCUCCAAACUAUUAUUUAUUUGAAGAAAAAAAUAUCUAACAAAAGCAAUUUUUUUUUCUAACUGAUAGGUAGUUUGAUCAUAUCCAAUUUUCAUUACAAUAUUUUCUAUGCGAAAACUUGCUAAUUAGUUUUUGGAUAUUUUAUAAUAAUUUAUUUGAAAAAAAAAAAAACAAAUCUAACAAAAAUCGAAUCUUCUAUAUUAAAUGCAGUACAUUAAAUGAAGUAAUAUAUUUGUAAUCUAUAUCUAUAUUAUAUAUCUAUAUCUAUACUAUAUAUAUAGAAAAUUAUCUCUUUCAACACUUUUAGGUUGUAUUUUUCUUUCAAAAAAUACCCUCAAUUUUCAAUACAAAUAACACAUGUAACAAAUAAAUAAGAAUAAUUUUUUUUAAUUACAAGGGAUAAAAGAAUACAGGAAAAAAAAAAUCAAAAAAAGGACUAGCCACGAGGGGAAAAAGUUCCCCAAGAAUCAUCCCUAAGGAGAGGCAAAAGAUCGUCAGGAGGGGUGGUAUGGUUAGACAAAGCCGAGUCCAUGCAUGGAAGCUCCCAACUUAGCAAGGAAGUCGGCGCAACGAUUACCCUCGCGAAGAGUAUGCAAGAUAGGAGUGUUCCGAAGCUGAACUAGAUCUUUAAUGUCUUGAAUUAGAGUGGCAUAAAUAAGAAUAAAUUUAAAUAUUAAAACAAAUGUAACAAAUAUGAUAUGAAUAUUUUUUUUUCCUUUAUCAUUUAAAAAGUGUAACAAACUAGGUGAGUAUAUUUAUACUUACUUUUUCAUCAUUCCAAUUAUAUCCUUAAACAACUUUUUCUAUAAUAAAAUUGUUGUUGGUGUCGUUAAAAAAAGAAUUUAGAUUAAUUUUUUUUUCUUACAUUUUAUUACUGUUAGUGUCAUUGAAAUAGAUAAUCAUGGUUAGUUUGAUUUUUUUAUAACUUGAAAGCAACAAACAUUUAUAUUUUAAUUUAGUUUAAAUCAAAAUCAAAAUUUCAUAAAAAAAUAUUGUUCAUAACCUUCAAACGUUAGCGCAAUAAAAAGAGCGGAAAGACGGACACGUGGGUACCCAUCUUUUCGCUAGUACUAUAUAUAAAGAAAACAACCUCUUUUAGCUCUUUUGGGCUGGAUUUUUCUUUUCAAAAUUGCCCUCAAUUUUCAAUACAAAUAACUCAUAAGAAUAAAUUUUAAUAUUAAACAAAAUGUAAGAAACACGAUAUUAAUAUAUAUUUCUAUUUUUUUUCCUUUAUCAUUUAAAAAGUGUAACAAACUAGAUGAGUAUAUUUAUACUUACUUUUUAUUAUCUCAAGUAUACCCUUAAACAACUUUUUCUAUAAAGAUUGUUGUUGGUGUCAUUAAAAAAAGGAAUUUAGAUUAUAUUUUUUGUUAUAUUAUUGGUGUCAUUGAAAUAGAUAAUCAAGGUUAGUUUGGUUUGUUAUAACUUGAAAGCAACAAACAUUUAUAUUUUUAGUUUUAAUCAAAAUCAAAAUUUCAUAAAAAAAAUAUAUCAUUCAUAAUUUUCAAACAUUAGCACAAUAAAAAGAACGGAAAGUCGGUCACGUGAAUGUCGUCUUUUUACUAGUAUAUAUAAAGAAAAUGACACGUUUCGGCUCUUUUGGACUAUUUUUUUCGCUUUCCAAAAUUACCUUCAACUUUCAUUACAAAUAGCACAUAUAACAAAUAAAUAAAAGUAAGUUCAAAUAUUAAAAUAAAAGUGUAACAAACACAAUAUGAAUAUAUGAUGAGUAUAUUUAUACUUAAUUUUCAUUAUCCAAAUUAUACCCUUAAACAAUUUUUUCUAUAGUAAAGAUUGUUGUUAGUGUCAUUAAAAAAAUUAGAAUUAAGAUUAUAUUUUUUUGUUAUAUUAUUGAUGUCAUUGAAAUAGAUAAUCAUGGUUAGUUUGAAGCCAAAAAACAUUUAUAUUCAAGGCUCUUUUCUUAUUUUUAUAUUUUUUUUAAAGAUGGCUUUUUUUUUUUUUUGGUCACUAGAAGGCUCUUUUCUUAUUUGACAAGAAAAGGGUAGGUUUUUAGAAAUAUAAACUAACAGACUCACCAAAAAAUAUAUAUUAGUCCCCUCUCCCUCUCUCUCUCAGUAACAAAAAUUACAUCGCACGUAAUGCGAUCCUUUCCCUAUUCUCCCCCUCCCAUGACGACCAUAGCUCCAACUCAGCCGCACAUGGAACAGUAUCACCAUCACGCCUCAUCUCCUUCAUUAAUUAUGAAUCCUUUUAUUUUUUUUCCCAUGCUCUUCGUAGGGGUGGUUCUGGUGAAGAUCCUGAUGAAAAUCCUCUUCUUAAGCAUCAAAUAUUGGUGUACAACUCGCCAUGGAACAAUGGUGGAGGCCAGGCGCACGCACGUCAUUCACAACUUAGACGAGUCCGUUAUAAACACCGCCGUCAUCCUCUCCUCCGUCUACAACGCUAAAUAUGCACAAGAAGAAUUUCAACGUGAUUGUGUUAUUUGCUUGAAUGAAUUUGAAGACAAUGAUACCAUUGGAACGCUCCCUCUUUGUUCCCAGAGUUUCCAUCUCCGUUGCAUUCAAGAUUGGCUUCCUAAACAACCUAAUUGUCCUCUAUGUCGCUCCAGCUGUCUUCUCAAUACUCAAGUGCUCUCUGUAAUUAAUUAUAAAUGUGACGUAGAGAACCCUUCCCAAGGGUUUAGGGUUUAGUUGUAUGUUAGUUACUAAUGCUUUAUAAUUAGUUAAGUUGUUUAUGUUUUUUCGUUUUCGUUAAAAAUUAUUAAUUGAUGUGGCAAUUUUUAGUGUUUCUAUUGGUUGCAUGUGUAAAAUUGUUUUGAGGUGUCAACUUACUCUAAUUAUAUUCUUAUAAUUAAACUACAUAGCAUAAAGAAGCUAUAAAAUCUUUUAAAAUAAAAAAUAAAAAGAAAAAAUAAAUAAAUAAAUAAAUAAAAGAAAACUAUAAGAUGAACGGGUGAAAAUUAAAGGAACACAAUUGGAAGUAUAUCUAUCUGUAUAUGUGAAAAGUUAGGUAAAAUUCUUUAGCAAAUAUAUCAUCAGCCUACAAGCCUAGAACAUAUGGAGUUUGAGCCAAACCCUUACUAUAUUAUGAAAUGUCAUAUUAAAUGAGCUACGUUUACGAGAUAUUUGUGUUUUUUUUCAAAUAAUCUAAUGAUUAAAAGUUCUCCUUUUAAAAAGAAUAAAUGAGGUGUUUAGGGUUUGAACCUCAACACCCUGCAUAUAAUAUAUAAUAUCAAUAGAAACUGAGUUAAACUCGGACAUCAUCCUUUUUUAUUUUUUUUGUAGCCUAGUGACUAGAUUCACACGCAUUAUGUGUGAAGAAGUGGGGAAUUCAGAGUUCGAACACCAUUCUUUUAAUGGCUGUAGAACAAGCCCGGAGUGAGUCAUUGCUAUGCUGACUACCGACUUCUCCAACCAUGUCAAAGUGGCCAAAGGGAACCCAAAGUGAGAGUUGUCCUAAUCAUACAUGGACACCUAUUCUUUUAACACAGUAUUGUUUAUACAUAUUGAAUAGAAACUUACUAAAAAUAUUUUCAAAGAAAAAAGAAAGAAAAAGAAAUGAAAAAAUAAAAACAGUUAACGUGACGUACCACCAACGUUAUUAAUAAUAUUAUCAUUAUAGCAUGAAUCAUUAUUGAUCCAAUCUUUGAAAAAAGAUACACAAGGCACAAGCUAACAGUGCGUGACAGAGAGGAGAAAAUGGCGACAACAGUAGCAAGUAGAGAAUUAUUCAUAGAUGGAGAGUGGAGAGCUCCUAUCCUCAACAAAAGGAUUCCAAUAAUCAAUCCCUCCAAUGAAAACAUCAUAGGUCCUUUGUUUAGUCCCUGUCAUCUUGUCUUGUUAGUUUUUAAUGUUUCUGGUCUUUUAUCAAGUAUGAUAUGAUAAUAACUACUUCUAUGUUGUGGCAUUAUAUGAAUGGUUGACACAAAUGCAGGGGAUAUACCAGCUGCUACUAAGGAAGAUGUUGACCUUGCUGUUGAUGCUGCUAAAAGAGCCAUUUCAAGGAACAAAGGUAAAGAUUGGUCCACUGCUUCUGGUUCUGUUCGUGCUGGCUAUCUUCGAGCAAUCGCUUCAAAGGUUCUAAUUUCUUUUCUAGUUUUGCUCUUGAUGGAUUAAAGGGACUAAUAAACUUUAUUCUAUUUUUUUAAGUAUAAGAUUGUAAUUUUGUCAAAAUAAAAAGUAUAAGAUUAUAACUGAAUCGUCUAUGAAAUUGAAUGUUGCACAAUUUGGUCUUGAAAUUAAUAAAAUUCCAAAAUAGUCUAUGAAAUUGGAAAUCGUAGAUCACAUUGGUCCAUUCCAGACAAUUUCAGUAACUAAAUUGACUAAGGAAAAAGACUCAUGUAAUAGAUGAGUCUUGAAAUAAAAAGUAGAUCACGUUAGUCCGUUCGAGAUAAUUUCAGUAACUAAAUUGACUAACGAAAAAGACUUGUGGGAUCGAUGAUUUUAAAUUUCUAAGAUCACUUCAGAAUUUUGUUCAUUUGAGGGACCAUGUUAUGGGAUGCUUACAAUUUCAGGACUAAAACUGUUGCUAGUUAGUUAUUUUAUUUACUGUUUGAUUAAUGUAGUUGUGUAUGUCUUCAGACCUGAUUGGUUGUCCUUUUUCUUUUCCAUUCUCACAGAUAACUGAGAAAAAGAAUGAACUAGGCAAGCUUGAAUCAAUUGAUUGUGGAAAGCCACUGGAUGAAGCACUAGCGGAUCUGGUAAUUAUUAUUCGACUGGAAAAACAUGUUGCCUUACUUCUUUUUUUUCUUUUUUGCUUACUUGGACUCUGCUCUGGUUUGAUUAUAUAGGAUGAUGUUAUUAGUUGUUUUGAGUACUAUGCUGGGCUUGCUGAAGGGUUAGAUGCAAAGCAAAAGGCUCCUGUAUCCCUUCCUAUGGAUACCUUUAAGAGCCAUGUUCUGAAGGAGCCUAUUGGUGUUGUUGCAUUAAUUACUCCAUGGUAUCUGCUUUUUUCUUCAACUUGUUGUUUAUGAAUUCUUUUUCAAUGAAACUAUCUGGUUUGAUGAUCUAUUUGGUAGACUCAUUAAAUGAUGUAACUGAUUUUAUUAUAUAUAGGAACUAUCCUCUCUUAAUGGCGACUUGGAAAAUUGCUCCAGCUCUGGCUGCUGGUUGUGCUGCAAUAUUGAAGCCGUCUGAAUUGGCAUCUGUGUAUGUUCUCAUCAAUUAUUACAAACUAGAGUACAAUCUGUUACGUUUAUUUAUCGUUUUGUCUUAUCGUUUACAAUUUUAGGACCUGUUUGGAGUUGGGCGAAAUAUGCAAAGAAGUUGGCCUUCCUCCUGGUGUUUUUAAUAUUGUUACUGGAUUAGGCCAUGAAGCCGGUGCUUCUUUGGCAUCCCAUCCCGAUGUUGAUAAGGUUUGAACUUUGAUAUUUCAAAUUAUUUUAGUCAUUAAUUAAUGGAAUCAAAACUAUAAGAAGCUAGAUCUUGGUCUAUAUUAUCUCGCAAGUGUUGUUAUCAUGUUGUCUUUAAGCUUUCUAAGAUAUUGUACCAUUGUGCGCAUUAUUCGAUAGAUUUCCUUUACCGGUAGCUCUGCAACUGGGAGUAAGAUUAUGACAGCUGCGGCACAGCUAAUCAAGGUAUUUUUAAGCAUGAUUAUCUACAAAUUACUGUCAUUUCAAUGAAUUCAUGCAAUAUCAAAUUGUGUUUUCUUGUUUGCAGCCUGUUUCACUAGAGCUUGGUGGAAAGAGCCCGAUAGUUGUUUUUGAGGAUGUUGAUCUUGAUAAGGGUUGGUGUGCCUUCUCAAAUAUGUCUAAUUUGUGGAAUCACAUUUUAUGAACAAUAUUUUAAUUUCUUGCAAUGUGAAUUUUGGGUAUCCGUAACCUAUGGCGUAUUGGUGUGAUCCAAAACAUUUGCUCAUAUGCUGUUUAUAGUUUAUUGAUUUGUUCUCCAUUAUUAAACAGUUGCUGAAUGGACCAUCUUUGGCUGCUUCUUUACAAAUGGUCAGAUAUGCAGUGCAACAUCUCGCCUUAUUGUGCAUGUAAGUUUAAUAGAGACUCAAAUUCCCCAUUUCAUCAAUAGUACAUGUUCAUGUUCAUAAAAAUGAAUUUGUAACUUUUCUUUUUGUAUAAAUCGGAAGGUCCAGAUUUCCUUUGACUGUGCUAGAAGUAACAUGUGUCUGAAAACCUUUUACCAAUUCUAUUAUUGGCUUUGAUUUAAAAAAUAAAUAAAUAAAAUGAUAAAGUGAAGCACUUAUACUGUUCCAGGAAAGCAUAGCCGUAGAAUUUGUGAGUAAACUUGUGAAAUGGGCUGAAAACAUAAAAAUUUCGGAUCCGUUGGAAAAAGGUUGCAGGCUAGGCCCUAUUGUCAGUGAAGCACAGGUAUGUUUGCUGUCUAUCACUUCUGUAUAUACACCAGAUAUGUGCUUAACUUACCACUUGCUGUUAAAAUCAUACAUUAGUUAUUGGUGGAGAGAUUGAAAGCGGCAAUUGAGUCUUACUUAUCGUAUCUAUAUGCAAAGAAACCUUGUUCCAUUUACUCUCAUAAGAUUUUUGGUUUAAGACGUUGUUUGUUGUCGUUAUCGUAUCUAUAUGCAAAAGGACGUUUUUAAUCAAUGGCUUUAGUUUGGUUAAAACAUUCAGUUGAUACAUAAUCCGAAAAAUCUACUGCUAGCAUGGACUUACUGUAUUUGUCUUGUGUUUGUUUUGUUCCAAGGCUUUCUCUGUUAUCCAAAAUGAAAACGUGUAAUAGUGUGAUAUCAGUGAUUAUGAUCCAAGUUGCAUGCAAUGUGUAGUGAUACAAAGUUUUGCGUAGUUACCAUGAUUUAGCUUUCUUUCUGACCAUGCAAUUUAAAAACAUUAAGAUUGAUUCAGCAUUUAUUUGCUUUGAACCAAGACAAUACAACAUCUAAUAUUUGGGUUACAUAUGAUUCAGUAUAAGAAAGUGUUAAAUUUUAUCUCAACGGCUAAGAGUGAAGGUGCAACAAUUUUGACUGGUGGGCGUCGCCCAGAGGUAUGAGUAUACCCUGAGUAUGUGUGUUCGCUUCUGUUUUUCUGCAUUUUUCAUGAGAAUUAAUGUCUCAAAAUUCGACGGCAGCAUUUGAAAAAGGGAUACUUUGUUGAACCAACCAUCGUAACCGAUGUGACUACCUCGAUGCAAAUUUGGAGAGAAGAAGUUUUUGGUCCUGUGCUCUCUGUAAAAACAUUUAGCACUGAGGAAGAAGCAAUUGAUCUAGCGAAUGACACUCAGUGAGUUGAUGAACUGAUAUUAAUUUCAUUUCUAAACCACUUUUUUCUUCCCUUGUGGAUUGAUGUCAAAGCCAAAAAUUUGAUAUUUCACAGCUAUGGCUUGGGGUCUGCUGUAAUGUCAAACGAUUUAGAAAAAUGUGAGCGCGUAUCUAAGGUGAGACUAAUCCAUACUAUCAUAAAAUAAAAAAUAAAUAAAAAAUGAUUUAUUUGGUUUAAAUACUUACUUAUAUUGAUUAUUCUGCAGGCUCUUCAAGCUGGAAUUGUAUGGAUCAAUUGUGCUCAACCAAGCUUCAUUCAAGCUCCAUGGGGAGGCAUUAAACGUAGCGGUUUUGGUCGUGAAUUAGGAGAAUGGUAUGACUAAUCUUGUUUCUUAAAAUCUCCAAAAUACCUUUAAUUCCCCCUCUAAUAUUCUCAAAUAUGAAAAUCUGAGAAUUAGAGUCUGAAAUUUUGUCGUUGUUUGUCAUUCAGGGGACUUGAUAACUACUUGAGUGUGAAGCAAGUUACCAGAUACAUAUCUAAUGAACAGUGGGGCUGGUAUCAAUCUCCUUCAAAGCUGUGAUAGUUAACCAUGUAAAGUGAUGAUAGAUUUGAUUUCUGAAGUCUGGCAUCGAAUAAGGUGUGAUGUGGUUGACACCAAGUUAUUAUUAUCUUAAGUUGUUGGAACAUAUUGUACUAUGUUACGUAUAAUAAUAUGCAGACAAUAUUGUUGUGAAAUAGGGCCAUGUUGCUUUCGUUGAUGUUAUGAUUUGAUAUAGUUUGAGAAGAGUGCAAUAAGUAUAGAAACUGAAAUGCUAGGUAGCACCGUAGCAAGUCACCUAUUAACGUGUUAGUACUUGAUUAUUAAAUCAUAUAAGUUACUUCUAGAGUGUUUGGUUGUGUGUUUGGUUUAGGCAACCGCGCGUUUGGGAUCCUUUUUGCCGUAGAAACAAGAAGCUGGUAACAGUAGCUUCUGAAGAAACACACAUCUACUGCCUCUUUGACGUGAAAACAAACAGAGGUUCAUAAUCCACAUCUCUGUUGUAACACAGUGAUAAUUAUUAAAAUACCUAAUAAAUAAAUGUAUGUACGUACUUUCUUCAAUCACUUUUUUUCAAUAAAACCUUCCUUCCAUUAUUUAUGUUUAAUUUGUUUAUCAUUCUUGGCUACAACUGCUUGCUUAUUUUUUUAUCAAAAGAUCAUUGUCAGGGUCAUCGUCUACUUGUGUUUUUCAUGAAAAGAUAGCCUUCAGUAUACAGUCUUGGUAUUAACGAAUUUGAAGUUCAUGCUAUGCAUACAAAUUUAGUGUUUGUUCGAGAAAACAAAAAAAAUCACAUUGACAAGAAUGUCCAAUGGAUCAAGACCUAAUAGACAAUAUAGAAACUCCCAAACAAAUGAGGGUCUCAUUGUACUGCCCGAAAUUGCUCAACCUAUCGGAAUGUAACUACAAAGUACGUGUUUUUUUUUGCUUGCAAACCCUAUCGGAACGUAGCUUCUCAUAGGUGUUUUCUAUAAAUUUUAAGCAAUACAGGGGCUCUUCAACAAUUUCCAACUUAAGAUGGAUGAGACCUAUAUAUGGGAUAUGCUUGAGUCUGCAGAAGGUGAGGAGCAAGAAAGCCAUGAGUACGUUCUGAAUGAGAACACAGCAAACCAUGACGAGUCAAAGGAGGUUGGUAAGGAGACAAACUUUGGAUCGCUGCUUAGUUUGAGCGUCAUCGAACCACCACUAGAGCAAUCACAUCAGGAAUUUCAUGUGACGCCAUUCACAAAAUGCAUGGUACAAAAAUCUGCAGGUCACAAUGAAUCAUGAAUCGGUGGUAGUGUUUUAGACAAUCAUCGAUGCAGCAACUAAGACACAAAUAUGUGAGAAGGAGAGAAGGAUUGUUCCCGAUCUGCACCCUCCACCGGAGACACCAGAUCCGCCUUCAUCACAAUCACCACCACCAGAGUCGCUAGACUCUAGUCAACCUGCAACAGAUCUCCAACAGAGAGAACCGCCACCCAAACCACAAGAUUGGUUGUCUUCAUAUGCAACAAGAGACAGGCCCCGAUCCAAGGAGGAAGGGAAAGAGCCAACAAUUAAUACUCAGCACAUACCACCGCCGCUGAAAUGGCCGGAACCGCCUGACAUCAACCAACUUGCAGUGGUUCGACCGCUACCAACGACGAGCAACGCACUUGCAACUGAACGGUUACAUUUCAACGUCGCUUCAGUUGGGAAGGAUUGUGAGGUCAAAAGGAUAACAUGGUCAAUUGUUAAGGUUGGUAUCUCUUUUAAUCUAAUGUAUCAGACCCAAGUUAUUUUUUGUUUGGUAUGGAAGGUAUUAGAAAUGUGGACAGGAAUAGAGUUACUAGGUUCGGUUCAAUUUAAUGAUAGCCAUUGGAUUAUGAAAAAGUGGGUGGCUAUAGUAGAUGAUACAAACAAGAAGGAGAAAAACAGUGGAACAGAUUGGUCAGGUUGUAUGUUGGAUCUAACAAUAAACCUAGUGGGUCAGGCACAAAACAAUUCUAGUAAGUGGGUGAGAGAAAUUAAAAGGUGGAGCAAUGUAGAGUCAGCAGAUUCCAAAAAUAGCAUAAAACAUAGACAACCCUAUGGUUGUCAUUUAGAGGUUUUUGCAUCAAACCUUUUGAGACAAUCAUUGGUGAUUCAUCCUUCAGUCAUAAAGAUGCUAUUGAUGAAGGGGCUCUUAAAGGAUAACAUACGUACAAAUAUUCUCAAGCACACUAUUAGAUCAAACAGGAAUUCCAUCUCAAGGUCAUUGGAGCAGCCCAUAUCUGAUUGCUGAUAAGUUUAUCCCAGUGAAAGGUGAAGGAGUUACUAAGUACAACAAAGUGGUUUUAUCUAUAUUUUUGAAGACACGCGUAAUUCUUUUUAUAAGCAGAAGGAACAUGGAAGUGGAAAGGGAAUUAUCAUUGUCAUCUACUCUUAAUAUUGAGAUCUCUUCAAUGGUGGUGAUGGCUUUGAUUGAUGAUGUAUUAGGCCCUUGGCAUGUGAAAUACAUUAGUUGUCGGUUGUCAACCAAUUACAAUGGGAGUUUAAUUGUGUGGAUGACUCGAUCACUUGAAAUGGGCUUGUCCGGCUCCCAUCAAUGGGAUCCUGGAGGAAAUGACUCGGUUUUCAAACACUACAGCACAAUGAGAGUUUUUGGGGAAUUCAUUUAUCAGGAAAUUCAAUGUCUCAUCGCCAUUGUCCUAGUUGUCGCCUUACUUUGUGCUGUAGCAACAGUUGUCUUGCUGAAAUUGUUCAUGUUCAAUUGCUUGGGUGACUUGCAAGCUACUUGUGUCAAGGCUUCUCUAUGACAAAAUGUACUCAAACCAAUUCUCUCAUCUCAACCUUGAGGACACGGCUGUUUUUCUAGUGGUCGGUAGUACUUUGUCACUCUACUUCAAGUUAUGGGAUCCUGGUGGACACUUAUGUUAUCCUUCAACUUGAGGACAAGGUGAAUCUUUAGGGGGGGAGUAUUGUUAGAUAUAGGACUCCUAAGUGCAUAAGUUAUAAAAUAUUAGUUGUUUAUUUAAUAUAUCAAUUAGUAAUUGUUACAUAGUAACUGUUAUCUGCAGAACUUCUAUGUAACUGCUACAGUGAGUUACUACUAUAAAUAGGAUAUUUUUACGGUACAUUUACAAAAUGAGGUGUACCGAUACUCUUUCUUCAUAAUUUUAUAAAUUAACGAUCGUUUUUUAUGAAAUAAAUAAUUAUUUAUCAAUAUUUAUAUUUUAUAGAACAUCAUUCAUAAGAAAAAAACAUCAGUUCAUUGUUUAUAAGAAUCAUAGUAAUUUUUUUAUAUAUUAUCGUAAAAUAUAAUCAAUAUUCUCAAUUAUGAGUGCUAAAAAUUCAAAAAAAAACAAACGUUAACACUUUUGAUGAAUAAGAUUUAGUUAUUAUAAAAUAAAUGAUAGAAAAUAAUAUUUUUCUUCAAAAAACAACUCAUUUAACCAUUAAUUUAACGAGUGAGUGUACCGGUACGUUCCAAUAUAUUGGAUGUACCAUAGAAUUUGUCCUAUAAAUAAAGAUGUAGAGGAAAAGGGUGGGCAUUGGAUAUUUUGUAUGUGGGUUGUUGUGAAGCCCCGAUACUUCAAAAUGGAUGACGUACCGUAUCCCCUGCGUAUCCUGCACCGAUACCUGCCCGAUACUUCCCGAUACGUAUCGGGAGAGUAUCCAAAUAUUAAAUUUUAUUUUUUAAGAAAAUAAUUUUCCGAUACAUCCCGAUACGCACGGAUACUUGUGUUUUUUUAUAUUAUUUUGAUUUAUGUGCUUUUUUUUGUAAAAAAUAAGAAGAAUAAAAACAUUAUAUUACUAUAAUAUAUAUACAUUUCCUUUAUCUUUCUUUGGUGCGAGUACGAUCCACACCAUACCACAGAAACAAUUUCAUCUUCCCCAUUUUAAAAAAUUAGGGUUUCAACUUUUUUUUCUAAAAUGGUCGCCUUCCACUUUGGAUAUAGUGCUUCUUUUUUGGAUCGAUAUAGUAUAACAUUAACAAUGUUCCUUUUGGAUAUAGUAUAACAUUGAUAUGACACUGGUGCUCUUUUUGGUAUAUUUUACGUAUGUAAUUGACUAAUCAUCAUUCUCUUAAUCGUCAAUAUUAUUUAUAUUUAUGUUAAUGUGCUACGAGUCUAGUUUCUUGUGUUUGUUAAUAUAUUUGCAUAUUAAAAAAAGAUUAUAAUUAUAUUAUACAUUUAAUUAUAUAAUUUUUUUAUUAACGUAUCCCAGCCGUAUCGUAUCUUAAUUUUUAAAAUUUUCCCAUAUCAACGUAUCGGUGCAGUAUCAUAUCCGUAUCGUAUCUCGUAUCCAGGCUUCGUGGGUUGGUUUGGGAGAGACUAGGCUCUCUAACUCCUAAAGGUUGGUUACCUUUCUGCAGUUACUUACAUGUAUCAAUAAUAAUACAUCACAUGCAUUUCCUUAUUAUUUUACAAUAAUCUACCAAAUACCAUAGAAUUAUCAUUGGUAUUUAUAGAUAUCUGAACCAGUAUCAGCCCUCUAUUCACAAGUUCAUUAAUUAGCUACCUUAAAGUCAAAUGCAUUCAUUUAUUAUAAUUAUAAGUGUGGUACAACUAUGGACUUUUAGGUCCCCACUAAAAAUGAACGCUCUGUUAUCUAGUGUCACGUAUGGUAAUCCCAUGUUCCUUGCUUAUUCAAGAAGAAAGAAAUUUUCAGCUACUCAACAGCAUUUUUUUCUACCAUCUUUAUGCAAAACUAUAUUGCUAAGUUGGGAUAACCAAUUGGUUUUUACUCAAAUGUUAAUGAACUUCAAUUAAGAACUUAUCAUUCGAAAGAAUUAGAGUUUAAAUUCCAACCGAAAUAAUUACUGAUUAGAUUUUACAUACUUCUCGAUCAAACUUCAUAUUAUCAAUAACCGUUUUCUUUAAAAACUAAAGAGUUAAAAUGAAACAAAAAUAUCACAAAAUUGCGCAUUAAUUUCAUGAUCAGAGAACAGUUUGCUUUUCUCUAGAUUUGAAAUCUACUCAAGCAAGGCAUCACAUGGCGCGGAUUAUUCGACAGAUCCUUCAAAGAUAGUGACCACAAUCAAUUUUAUUUUUUUUGAAAGAACCACAAUCAAUUUAUGAAACCGCUUCCAGGCACACGGAUUUAUUUUUUGGACUUGUUUUACGUGUAACCUUUGCCUUAAAUUUCUAUAGCUCCUCCUUCAAAAUAAAAUGAUUUAAUAUAAUUAAAACAGUGAAUAUGAGGCAUAAAGUGAUCUGGUUGCUUACUGAAGUGGUGGUAUUAACGACUUUAUCAAGUAUCAAUCUUUUUAGGUAGUGCAACUAAACUUGAGGUCUCAAACACAUGUCUUAUGUACUUUGAAGAAUUAAAUACAUUCGAUGCACACAUGAAGCUGAAAAGAAGAUAACAAAACAAAAACAAUUGGUUCGUGGGUGAUUACUUUGAAAUUUUUGGAUCUUGGGGAUCUAAUAAUUGUUUAAUGAAUAAACUAUGAAUUUAGUCUUUUAACUAACCUCAUCUUUUCAAUUUAGUCUUUAAACUAUAUAAAUAUAAUAAAUAAUCCAUAUCAACUUAUUUGAUUUAAGGGAUUUAAGGAGUUAAAGAUACAAAGUUCAAACACAAACAAAGAUAAAAAAAAUCUAACAUAAUAAUUAAUAUACUAUUAUUGGCCUAUUAAAAAAAUAUAAUAAAUUGUUUUUAAAGUAUAUAAAAUUUGUCGAUUUAAUCUUUGUUAUUAAAAUAUUAAGAACUAAUUUGACAAAAUUUUAUACACUUUAAGGAUUAAAUUGACAGCUUUUAUUUACUUUAAGAAAUGUUUAUUAUAUUUAUAAUUUAGAGAUCCAAUUAGAGAGAAAAUGAUAGUAUCAUCGUGAGUUUAGCUCAGUUGGUAAUGACAAUACAUAAUAUAUGUAAGGUUUGGGGUUCAAAGUCAGACCACCAUCAAAGAAAUCAAAGAAAAUGAUAUUGAAAAAUUAAGAAAAUCUGGUCCACGUCACUGAUAUUUUUUGACUAUAUUGUUUAAAGUUGAUGUUGCACUAACACUAGAGUAGUUUAAAAUUGCUAAUGAGUGCACUAUUUUAUUUUGCCUUUAUAUCUCGCUGAAAUUAUUGGAUGUGAUUGCUAGCAGGUAAAAAUGAUUAUUCUUUCCCCCUUGAUCUUGUGCAGCACUAGGAAACAAAUUAUUGCUCUUUCCUUUUCUUGUCUUCAUCAUAGGGGCGGUUUCAUUGCAAAUUUCACCUAAUGCAUUAUGCCUUGUUAGUUCGAACUCAACUUCUAUGAAAUUAUGAUUGAAUUAACAUAAUGAAAAGGAGAAAUUGGCCCUGAAGCCAAGUGUGACAUUGAAAUUAAGAUGAUUAUUGGUAUUUUGUCACUUGCAAGAUAUUAUACGGUGCACUUUCUAACCGAUGUAAACAGAGGCAAGAUCAAAAGCAAUAUGGGGGGAUUAAGGAUUAUCUUGUGCCCAAUGGAAGCUUUCUGAACCGAGGAAAAUCCACCUUAGGGGAAAAUGUUCCUUCAUCUGCAAGAAAGUAAAACCUUGUAGUCUAAUUGCUUGAGUUCUUUUAUUUGUGUUGGUCACAUUAAUGUUUCUGAAAGCUUGCCUAAAAUGCAUGCAGUAACUGUGUUAUUGAUGUGGAGUAUCCAUCACUUUUGUCGAUGAAUAAUUUCUGCAAAGGAUUCUAGUUGGCAGCCACCUUAAGAGUUGAGUGGAGUGGAGUCUUCCCUCUUAACUACAUUUUGUUGGUCUACAAUACUCGUACACGAGACCUUGCUUAAGAAAUCAGAUUUCAGUCCGACUCCUCCUAAUGUAAUGUUGAUAUGUAGACAACAUAAUUUUUUGUUUUUCAAUUGAAAUUUCAAUCUUAGUACUUCACGUCGGAGAAAUACAGCUUCUUCUACUAGACACAGCACAUAUUGGUUAUGCAUACCACAUUUUUUUUUUUUCUGAAACCCACACAUAGAACGGUAUUACGGCUUCAAACUUGUGCUUCAACAUAUUAAAUAUGUUCGUAAUCUUUACUCAUAUGACCUACACUUAUAGGAUAAAAAUAAUAAUUAUUAUUUUAUUUUAAUUAAAAUAAAAUAAUAAAUUCACUUGUCUUACUUUCAUUUUCAAAUAUAUCAAAAUUAAUUAAUUAAUUAAAAAUAAAUAAGAAAACAUUUAUUGUUU
rnacentral:lncRNA from 1 species